GAGUGGGAGGUGGGGAGGAGAUUAAGGGGUUUGGACCCUUUUCAGGAUUUGGAAUUCAGGGAGAGAUUAAGGGGAAAUGGGGGAAGAAAAAGAGGUGUGGGUUUUCCAAUUUGAGCAGUGAGCUAUGUACAACCUCAACUUAGCGGUUAGCAGGGCAUAGGGUUUUUGCGUUCGGAAGGUUUAAGAUUGGCCGGACCAGAAUCCCGGUUCAGCGGUGGACGCCUCAUAUUUCCGCGCCAAUUCAUUCGUUCUCACUUAUUUUCUUUCUCCCUUUUUUUUUUUGUUUUCAAAUAACUUCUUCUGAGGGUAAUUUCAAUUAGGCAGUUAAUUUUCACAAUGCUAUCAAGACAACGCGAUAAAAUGCAAGGCAAGACAAAAAGAAUAGGGAAAAGCUAGUAUAUAUUUUACAAAACGUUAUACCUUAUCCAAUUAAAUGUACUCUUACUUCUAAUAUUGUUUGAGUGCACGUAACUAUGAAAUCUAUAAUAUUUCAUCUAAUUGUAAUAAUUAAUAUUCGUAGUUACAUCCUUUAGAUUUUUAUUUUUAUUUUUUUUUGCAACCAUCAACACAUUAUUCAACACUUUAUUCUUGCUUUUGGUCACAAUUUUUUUAAAAAAAAUUAUUUUUUAAAAAAAAAAAGAAAAUUGUGUGUAAUAACUAUCACAAGCUAUAGCGUGUGAUUUGCAUAAUAAAGGUUGAGCUUGUUUAACUAUUUUUAUUCAUUUUUUCUUCAAGGCUUUUUUCAUUGAUAUAGAAUAACUUCUUUGUUUGGAUUGCCUCUUUCCAAAGGAAAAUUGCUACAUUUUUCGUAGAUACAUUUUUUAAUCAUCUUUUUACUUCACAUAUAUUAAAUCGUUACCGUAUAUUUUCUAUAAAAAGUUCAGAAAAAUACAAUCCAAACAAAGUAUUUUUCUUCCUUUAAAGCAUAUUUCCACUGAUGUGCAUAGAAAUCACUAUUCAAGACUUCAAGCUAGUCUAUUUUUCCCAGAUUGAUCAAGACUUUCUGAGCUAUCCUCUUAGAAGAAAUACUUUGGUAGUGCUUGAUCAGCUGUUCAGUCAUUUUUACUCCAGACAAUGAUUUGAAAAUGGAAAAAUGGUAGUGCUGGAAAAACACUACUACUAGUAUGAGAGGAAUAGAGGAGUAGAUAGAAACAGAAUAAAGAAGGAAUGUUUACAUGCUAAUAAUUAAACCGGAUGACUUCAUAAGCCCAAGAAGCAUUAAACUCCUCAAAUAGCUGAAGAAACCAUUAUUGUCAAUAGUCGAAAUGACCUAUAAAACAAGAAAUUCACAGAAAUCUAAAUUUGGCUGCCUAUUAAUCUUCCUGAUCACAAAAGUUGUUGAUGAAGUUAUUCCCAUUUGCUCUUAAUUUGAUCGUCAUGCAAGAAAUGAUAUUCCAUUACCAAAGUCCCAUCCAUUCUCCUCAAAACAAACCUUUCAACCAAAACAUAGAGGCCAAAUUCUCUCCAUUCAUCACUUUUCUUGAACUCCUGUGCCCUUGUGAUCCUCACCUGUCUAUUCUUCCCACUUCUCCAUCCUUCUCUUUCUUGCUCCCAUUUCAUUCUUUCCACAAUUUCUGGACUCAAACCAACCCUUCUUUUGGCUCCUCCUCCAUCAGAAAAUCCGAACCAUAUUGCCCCCUCAUCUACAAUUCCCUCGUCCCAUUCAGCCUUAAAACCACCAACAUAGACAGCUUCGUUUUCAAGAACAACAUCCACAGUUAACUGUUUUCCUUCAUUAUCUUCUUUGUUAGAGUUAGAGCAAGAGAAAAUCUUCUUCCACUGUUGCUCCAAUGUCAUCACGUAAAACAUUGAAUUCGACAUCUGAUAUCUCCGCAUAAUGGUGCCUUCUCUAACAAACAUGAAAGGACAGUACCACUUCCCAACGACAAGAGUUUGAGAUUCCUCACAUUUCAGGGGGAAAUCGAAUCGCGGCAUGCAGGCUCGAAGAGCUUUAUCAAGGCCUGGAGCUUCAUCUAACAUAAAUUCUGUCGAAAGGCGAGCUUUCCAGCCAACUUCGUUAAUCCUCCUCAAUGGUUCAGGAGGAAAACCACCAUCCACAGUAGAUAAUCCGGCAAAAUAACGACCAGAUCUUUUAACAAUUUUGAACUGUUGAUAAACGCUGCUUGGAUCCAGUGGCCUUGGUCUUACAUCUUCGAUACAGCAUGUGUUAUUGCAGCUUAAUUCCUUUGAGCAAGUUAAAGCUUCCCUGAAUACGCAAUUUUGGAUUUUACAAAAAAAGGUUAGAAUGUGCCUAAUGCAAAACUCUAUAUUUAAGUAACAAAACUAAAAAGUUCCAAUUACCGAAGAUAAUCCAACAAACCAAACAAUACUAGAAUUUUCUUAUAAUUCCUCCACCUCUUCUUUGACCCCCAUCAAGUUCAUCUAAAAAUAAGAACAUCGUAGAAACCAUGGAAGUAGAACAAAGUAAUUAACUCAAGAAACUGGUGCUAGAAAAGAUUGUUACAAUGUAGUAGUAUAGUACCCUGAAAAAGGUUCAUCCCGAGAUAUGACAUAGUAGAGAUUUGAAGAAAGCGGCUGGUUAAGAACUGGGAUGAACAUAAGAUGAUCGUACACAUUUCUGUAAUAUCUGUCACCAUUUGAGUAGGUUACUACUCUCACUAUAGUCUUAAUGGUUAGACUAUAAUUCUGCGGAAAAGGCAGGUCCCUUACACGGUCAUUAUCAAAUGAACACAAUCCAAAACAGCAAGUUUCAACCUUUCUAUCUUGAAUUACUAGGAAACCUGAAUGUGGCCCUUCAGGAAGUGAUGAAAGGGAGUCUGGAGAGUUCUUGAAGAAAGAUUUAGGCCUUGUUACAUACAUGAUGGCGUACCAAUCGCAAAAAGGUUUGCUGUACUAACAAGCUUGAUGACAGAGAAAUAAAAGUACUGAUCAGAUGACUAAAGAAAGGGUUUUCUAUGAUUACUGGGGAUUUUGAGAAUCAAAUCAGCACCAAAAUUUCAGGGAAUUUGAGGAUAAACUUUGAGGAGAUCAAAAUAUCACUUAUCCAUCGUGACUAACGUCCCAAGAGUCCCGCAAGCGGAACAAAAGCCUACAGAAUAGGAAUGGCAACUGAUUCGUUAUAUUCUAUUUGGUGCAGCUCUUCUUCUUUCCCUUACCAUCACGCCUGCCUGCAGAAUAGUGAAAACAGUUCGUUGCAUUGUGAUGUCGUAACCUUCGUCGGUUUGAUUGGGUGAUUCUUAGUAAGGCUACUGCGAUUUGAUAAUUUGGAUAUGUCUAAUGAGAUUGAGACUUUGCAUAGAGGACCAAAAAAUUCAUAGACAGAAUCUGUAGACUUGCAAAAAUAUUUUCCGGCAAACGGCAGCCAGUAACAAACAACACAUCAUGGAUACUUUCCGGUGAUCUACCACUGAAUGCUAUUAAUUCCUGGUAUUCCUAUUCCAUUAUCCAUGGAGAGUAACACUAGAAUCAGUACCAUGUCUGGUGAGGAUGAUUGAAAUAGUAUGUUAUUACAAACUUCCAUCCAUUCUGUUCAGUAUAAAACAUUCAAUGAAACACAGCACCAAGUUCUCUCCACUCAGGCACCCUGAGAAUUUUGCAUUAAUCUGCAGUUGUGGUAUGAAUACUAAUGAAUUCUAUCUGCCUGCUCAGUACUAACGCUGCCACAGUUAAAGUUCUGCUUUGGAAAGAAAAUUAAGAGUCCUAAUCGAAUGUGGCAAUUAUUAUGCUCAAUCUUUGUUUUUCAACUUUCUUCAGCCCAUUAUUGAUGAUUCGAGGUGGAAAAUGAUGGGUCAUGCCAAAGUUUUGCCUGGUUUCAAUCUAGAAAUUGAGCAAAAUAGAAUUUUCUAGACAAGCACCGGGGAAACAUUGAAUUGUUUUAUACAAACCUCAGCAACGUGGCCGAAGAGUAUUACUGAUUACAAACAUGUAAAAGGACAUUUUGCUUGGACAGAUGGGAUUUCAAGAAAACAAACUAGAAUCAUGGAUAAGUUUGUAGUACAUAAUUAAGAAAUGCUAUUACUCCCUGGUUGCUCCUUAAACAUAGUACUAGACUCUUAUCCCACCUCCAUUUUAUCUGGUGAGAGUGUAGGAGAUCAUAUGGCACCAGCAAACUUCCAUCCAUUCUCUUUAACACAAAACUUUCUACCAAGAUAGAGCAACCAAAUUCUCUCCAAUCACCCUUGUCCCCAAAAUUUUCUUUCCUCUCAACUCUCACUUGCCUUCCUUUCCCACCUAACAUUCCAGAUCUUCCUUGCUCGCAUUUCAUUCUUUGAACUAACUCCACACUCAGACCUACAUUUGCUUCUUCUCCACCUCUAUUGAUGCUCCUAAACCAUAUCUUUCCUUCAACUACAUUUCUCUCAACUAGUUAAGUAAAUAUUAUAAUUUCAUCCCACAUAUUUUUGCACAUCUUGAUUAAUCGCCAUAACGGUAGAUGCUUUCCAUGUAUUUUCCAUUUUAGAUAAAAACUAGAUUUAUGUGGAUAUUUUGAAAGCUUAUGAGAUUGUAUUAUUAUGCACAAGCACAGAGGGUUGAGACAUUUACCCAAAACAAAGUAUACCUUAGUUUUGUCAUCUUUACCAGCAUGGAGAACCUUCCCUCCCUCAGUUAUGGAGUCAGGAUCAUAGCUACUAGAGAAUCAAGCAGUUGGACUGUUUUUUUCCGGAACUGCUCUUCUGAUAUUUCGAGAUCAAAAUCUAUGGACCAAGACACCAGGCAAAGUAAAUUUUGAUGCAGCAAAUUUGCGAAAUGAUUUAAUUUGACAUUUAGUUGGAAAGUUAACAAAAGAUUACAAUAUAACGUUACACAUUGUUUAGCUCCUAAGGUCACCUGGUAAAGAAUUAGUCUUUCCAUUUUGGGCUAAACCAAACCACAUUUUUUAUUCAGACGACGUUUUUUAUUCACACACUAAUCAAAUAUCAAAGGAGGAUAACUUAGCAGAGUCUCUUGCACCAUGGUUGAGGUUCUCCAGACCACAUCUUUAUUGCCCGUUAGUCAUUGGCUAAUCCACCUAGCUUAGUAUUAUUGGUAGCACGACAGAAACAAUUUCAGGCAAAGUUUGACAGUUGCUGUUUUACAUCUAUCAUCAAGUUGCCAAGAGUUGCUGGAAUGGUCUUUUGGGCCCUAAAAACAUUCAUUUAAACCACAACAGAGUCUACUAUGCAAGGUAAUAUCCAGAAUGCACUAUUGGAUGAGCAAAUAUAAUCAAUUUAUUCCAUGAAACAGAAAAUGCUAGAGAAGUAACCUUGAAAUACUGACAUUUUAUAUGGACCUCAAUAACCACAUACUUACAUAUAUAUUUACGGAUAUUUUUGUCUUACAAGCAGUGUGUGGAGAAAACAAACCAAAAUUAAGGAUGAAACCAACGCAAAUCAAGAAAACAAAUCAAAAUCUAGGAUAAGUCUAUGGUAAUAGAACGUUUACAAAUGCAACAGUGAAGAGACUCAAUCCCAUGUGCACUUGAUCUGGUGAGGGUGUUUGAAAUCAUAUGUCAUUAGCAAACUUCCAUCCAUUCUCUUAAACACAAAACUCUCAACCAAAACAAAACAUCCAAAUUCUCUCCACUCACCCUUUUCUCCAGAGUAUUCUAUCCGUUCCACCCUCACUUGCCUUUCGUUCCCACCUAGCCAUCCAGCUCUUUCUUGCUCCCAUUUCAUCCUUUGAACUAAUUCUAUGCUCAGACCAGCUGUCGCUUCCUCUCCAGCUCUCCCAAAACUCUUAAACCAUAUUGUUCCUUCAACUACAUUUUUCUCAUCCCACACAGCUUUGUUGCCAGCAAUGUAGACAGCUUCUCGAUCAAUGGUGACAUCCAUGGACACAGACUUCGCCUCAUGAUAGAUAUUCUGUGUUGAAUAUACCUGCUCCCACUUUUGCUCCAGAGUCACCUGAUAAAACAUUGAUCUUUUCAUCUGAUCUUUCACUAUCCCAUCUUUGAUAAACAGAAAAGGGCUAUACCAUUUGCCUACUACAACUGCUUCAGAACUCUUAUACGAUGGUGGUACACUGAAUUCAGGAAGGCGGGCUCGUAGAGCAGCAUUGAGACCAGGAGCUUCGUCUAAUUCAUAGUGUUUUGGAGUUUUUGUGUGAACUGACCACCCUUUUCUUCUCAAGAAAUAGGGAGGAAAACCAUCCGGCGCAACAGAUUUAGCAUAAAAGUAACCCCUGCCAACGCAAGCUGCUUCAUAAACAAAAACCUCAAAUUGUUGGUAAAUGUUUUUUCGAUCAAAUGGCCUUGGUUUAAUAUCUUUAACACAACGGCAGAAACAGCAGGUGGUCUUGUCUUCUUCUCUAGAACAAGUCACGGCUUUCCUGAAAUAAUGAGGAGGAGAUUAAUUAGGAAAUGCUCCGCGACAAACCAAUCAGAUUAAGGAACAAAUUAGUGGCAUACUGUAGGAAAGCAUUAACAUGCAAUUAUUAGUUUUUCAGGUUCUGGAUAGAGAACUUUUAGAUGUGAAGAUAUCUGUUUCAAGUUUGCUGCAGAGGCUAGAGCAUAAUACAAGUGAUGAAUGCAGUUAAGUCACAAUCUGUCAACCAAAGUUGUCUUAUUAAAAUUGAUUUUGUUCAUCGAAAUUCUCUUCCUGCUGUAAAAUUAUGCUGAUUUUGUUUUCUGAAACUUUGCAUCUCCUUUUAAACUUAGCCUGCUUGAAGACUAUUUGAAUUAUAUUCAGGCCACUCAAUUCCAAGGUUUCAAAGUGCUUGAUUCUGGUAUGGUUCUUUUCAGUUGAAGCUCAUUCUCCAUUUCAAAGAAGAAUCACUUCCUAACCAGUCAUUUAAAGCUGAACUAAAAAACAAGCUCAUCAAAACAUAAAUACAAGUUAAAACCAGAAUAAGGAGCUUUUUGAUACAUACCCUUUGUGAUUUCCAUGUGGCUUGAUGACAUAGUAGCGAUUCGAAGACAAAGGAAGGUUGAGAACUGGAAUGAAGACAGCAUCAUCAAGGGAAACAUCUUGGGACUCACCACUACUUUGUACGUACUGAACUGUCAAGUCCUUGUUCUGAGGAAACGGCAGAUCCCUGACGGUUCGAUUCUUGCACAAUCCAAAACAAGAAUAUGUCUCCGAUUCUUCAUCUUGAAUUACCAAGUAUCCCGAAUUUGGACCCUCCGGGGGUAAUGAAAGUGUAUCUGGAUUCUUUGUGUACUCAGAAAGUGGCCUUGCAACAUACAUUUUUCCCAAAAUCUUCUUCCCCAAUCCUCCUGUGUUAGUCUUUUUAUUGAUGUUUAUUUGCAAAUACCAUAUCCUUCUCUGUCUCUAUAUGUAUAUCUACAAGAGGAUAAGCUUCUCUGUCCCUAUAUGUAUGUCUACAUAUGGAUAAGGUGGGAACAUUUAGAAUCUUCAGUAUACAACCAAGGAAGUUCACACUGGACAAAAUAAUAUCCUAAUUGCAAAGAUAGGUUAGAAAUCAACCAACCUGGAAAAGUUGAACAAGUUAGCUAACCAGUCAACAAGCUGACCAGUGCUAAAUCUGUUUGCAGAUACAAUUUUCUCGUUGAUUCCAGGAAAGUUACCCGGAAUCAGCAGCUUAUAUUUGUCGAAACCUUGAAAACAAGUUCAGCAGCUUUAUGUAGAUUCAAGUUUUACUGUUUCGCACAUAAACAAUGUCCGGCAACAUUUGCUUAUUAUUUUUUGACAACGUCAAGAAAAUUAAAUAUAGGAUAAAUUACACUUUAUCCCCUGUAAUUUAGCAUUUUUCAUGUAAUCUCCCUAUAGUUUCAAAAAUUAUAUAUAGCCCCCUUAUUAUUUGAAUUAAAGUGUCAAAGUGACGGAAAUGAUUAUUCUUAACAAAACUUUUGAAAAUAUCGAAAUUACCUUUAUAAAUACAUGACACAUUAACAGCAGCGUAUAGUUUUAUGUUUUAUCAUAUAAACCCCUUAUAGUUUAAUUACUUUAUCAUAUAACCCCUUAUGAUUUUUAAAAUAUACACAUAAUUCCCAUCGGUUAAUAAAUAAUUUUUAACUUUACAUAAGGAUAAUUUUGACAUUAUAGGUGAUUCCAUUACGAAUGAUUAUUUUUGUCAUUUUGAUACUUUAAUCCAAAUUAUAAGGAGGUUAUGUAUAGAUUUUGAAACUAUAAAAGGGUUAUGUAAAAAAUACUAAAUCACAGGGGAAUAAAGUGUAAUUUGCCCUUAAAUAUAUAAUAAUAUCUUUUGUCAAACGUGUAGCCGUGUACUCCAGAAAAUUUGACGCACUCCAACAUGUCGGCAACAGCCAGAUUUAAGUUGAAGCAACUUGAAUGUGGUAAUUACUGCGUUUUUAGCUAGAGUUAUGGAAGAUAUUAAAAAAUUGUCAAGGAUAAGAUUAGAAGCCAAGAAGUCCUUGCUAAUUAUUUUAAGGUUGAUCCGUAACUGAAAUGAAUUGACUGAUCAGGAGGAAAGUUCAUGGUAUUUCUUCUCGUAGCUGGUCGAGCCUCAAAGAAAGAAACCAAUACCAUGAAGGCUUGAACAAACAGCAAAAACUUCUAUUCCGGUCUGGGGUACUUUUGGGCCUGGAUAUUUGGUGAUAUUCUUUUUUCAUGUUAGUACCCAUUUAGGGGUGGGCUGCUUUGGGUUCUAAGGUUAGAAGGAAUCAUGUUAUCACGAGAACUGCUCUUUAACCUGCUUUUGCUGCAAAACACCAUUAGGCCUGUUGGGCCAUGUAUAAAGUUGUUGGCAAGAAAACAUCUAUGUAGCGCAACAUGUUUUGUCCAUUUUAUAGGGAAUCUCAUCCAAAAGAACACCCAAUUGUGGAUUUGUGGGGACAGGCCUUGCAACAUACAUCUUUCCCAAUCCCAAAGCUUCUUCCCCAAUCCCUCCUCUUUUUUUUUUUUGUCGAAACAAUAGAUGUCUUAUAACCUAAUCUAGCCUAGUUUAAGGGGAAGGGGAGGGGGUUCGAUGUGAGUACAGACUCCAUCGAUGAAGGUCAAUUAAGACCGCCACAAAUUGUGGCAAAUUUGUGGGAGGCAGGGAUUGAACCCCUGACCUCCAGCAUCACCUUUAAUGGUGAUGACCACUGGACCAAAUGGCCAGUGGCUCCCCAAUCCCUCCUGUGUUAGUCUAUUUAUUGAUGUUUACAGAUGUUUGACAAGUCAUAUUUGCAAAUACCAUAUCCUUCUCCGUCUCUAUAUGUAUAUCUACAAGAGGAUAAGGUGGGAACAUUUAGAAUCUUCACUAUACAACCAAGGAAGUUCACGCUUGACAAAUAAUAUACUAAUUGCAAAGAUAGGUUAGAAAUCAACUAACUUGGAAAAGUUGAACAAGUUAGCUAACUAGUCAACAAGCUGAUUAGUGCUAAAUCUGUUUGCGGAUACAAUUUCCCCAUUGAUUCCAGGAAACUUACCCGAAAUCAGAUUAUAUUUGGGGCCAAACCUUGAAAACAAGAAGUUUAUGUUGUCCUAUUGCGUCUACGGUGGAAAGUUCACUUUUCUGCUCAUACUAGGCAGAAGCAAUGCAUGGAGCCCAACUGUGCUCUGCGGGACGCACAAAGAAGGAUAUUCGGGCACCAUUGGAGAGAGUGGGUUGUGCGUGGAUAAAAAUUGUAAUACAUUUUAAAAUCACAAUAAAAGUCCUCUUAAAAAUUUGUUCAUCAUCUAAUGCCCCGUACUUAUAUUUGAUAAAGGGAUAAUUUCAUAAACACCCCUUAAGAUUUUUGACAAUUUCACUUGGCUCCCCUUAUGUUUCAAUAAUUACAUAGACUUCCUUUGGUCUAAUCAAAUGACUAAAAUGUCUUUCACUUAAUAGUUAAUUCAUAAAGGGACAUUUAAAACCGAAAAAUACUUCUUUUUAUUCUACUUGUCAUUUCCUAAUCUCAAAAAAUAAUUUCCAUCAAUUUUCUAAUUUUCAUCUCUUUUUCCCUCCCUCUCUCCAUUCCCUUUCAUAUUUUUCUCUCUUUUUCUCCUACAAUUGCAUCUCCCUCUUACCAAAUAUCGCGUUCCAUUAUUACCAAUCACACCACUAUUAAUUUUUUAUCAUCUCCAAAAUUUAUUUGUAUUUUUUGUAUUCCUGUCUCUUUUUUACUAUAAAAAUUUUAGAUCCUUUUUUUUUCAAUAGUUUUACUCUUUACAAAUGUUAACCAAUUGAAAUUACAAAAUUAACAAGGUGCAGACUGUGAAUUUUAUUGUCAAAUUAGGAAAAGAUGAAAAAGUGGUAGUGAUAUAGGAAAAAAAUGAAAUUAAGAGUUGGAACAUAAAGAAGCGACUAUUAUGCUUGUUAAGCAAAAAAAUCUAGCAAUUACUCAUUGGUUUUCUUUUUUAUUUACCUAUUGAUUAUGAUUUUACUAUGAAAGUAGAAUUUUGUUUCUAUUUUUAAGAGUGCUAGAGCAAUGAUGAAUUAUAUUUUAGGGACAUGGGGGCAUUUUUUAGUUUAGUAUUAGUAGUGGUGGUAGUGAGUUGCAUUAGACAAGAAUUAGCAAGUAAUGAAUUUUGAGAUGAGUUGAAGUCGCUGGACUUUGUUUGUUUUAGUGAGUAUGACACGUAGAAAAAAUUAAAGAUUAAAAUCUUGUUUUGUUUUGUCUUAUUCUUUGAAAAAUGGUAUUUUAGGAUAUUUGUGAAAAUUUAUAGGUUAUUGGGUUUAUAUUGUUACAUAAACCUUAAAAGCAAUGGAGCUAAGUGUAAUUUUUGAAACUUAAGAGGAGCUCUCUGUAAUUGCUAGAAACCUCAAGGGAGGUUUCUAAAAUUACCUAUUUGAUAAAUUAAAAUAGUUAAUUAAAUAUUCUAUUAUAAUAUAAACAACUAUAUGUCAUGGAGUUGAUUGAAUAAUUUUUUUUCUUUUUCUUUUUUUGGCAUUUCAACUAGUUGUCAAUUAAGUUUCAAUUGAAAUAAAUAUUUUAUAAUUAUUUAAAUUAUGCAAUAAAAUUAUCAAUUUAAGAUGAACAUAAAUAUAAAUACAUUAAAUUGUAUUAUUGAAAUAUUUGAUUUAAUAUGAAGGAAAGAUGAGAAGAAAUAGCAAGAAAUUUUUUAAAAAUUCAUAUGAAUCAUUUAUAUUGGUAAUCACCUCUAUUUGUUAUUGGAAUCACAAUGUCUAACCAUAACCGAUUGAAACUCAUAUCCACAAGUCAUACAACGAUUUGUGUUAUACUGCUUACAAUUAAAAUAACUAUAUAAUCAAAUUAAAAUUCUCUUUUUCUCACUAACUUUUCUUUUAUAUAUGAUUUCUGUGUUAUCAUUUGUUUGUAAUUAAUUUAACGAAAAGAUACUCUUUAGGCUAAAUGAUAUGUUUUGACAAUGUGGAUUACUUUUAAUGAUUUUAAUGAGAUUUAGAACUCAUUUGUUAUGCAUUUAAUCUAAUUCACAUUUUAUUUCAUUUGAAAUAUAAUUAUUUAAAACACAAGGGACCAUAUUGAUCAAAAUUUCAAAUAUUAGGGACCAAAAAAUAUAAUGUCAAACCCUUGACUAAUUCUAACUUGAUUUUGACUGUUAGAUAUUGUAGUUUUCUAUUAGUUGUCCUAAAUUUGCUUAAAAUAAAAAAUUUGGGACCAUAUUUAUUUUGGUCAAAAUAUCAGGGACUAGUUUAACUCAUAGACCAAAUAUUGGAGAACCAAAAUUGCACAUCUUCCUUUAUUUUAAUCAUGUUUGUUAUCCCAACUCUUUCUUUUAUAUUUACGCUUCAAUUAUUUCAAAUAUCAAAGUCAAUUAAAAAAUAAAAACUACUACAAUAUUUGUUUUGAUAUGUACAAAAUUCACUAAAUAAUGUUCAAAAUUUCACCCAUUUUCCGUUACAACAAUUUCGUCUUUCUUUUCGUACCUUUGUUUUCCACAUUUUUUUCACAUUCACUUUUUUGCUCUUCACUUUUUAUUGGGACCCACAUCUCGAUUAGGGUGUUCACAAAAUAUUUUCUAAGUAAAGGGUAUUAGAUGAUGAACAAAUUUUUAAGAGAGGUUUUAUUGUAAUUUUAAAAUGUAUUGCAUUAUUUCAUCCCAGCACAGCGGACCUUCUCCAGUGCCUGGUACAUUAUUUUUCUUUCCGUCUUUGUGCGUCCCCACAGAACACAGUUGGCCUCCUUGCAUCAGACGGAUCCUCUAUCCAUUAUGUCUGUCAACUUUUCUGUCUAAUAAAAAAUUACGUAGUUUCACUUAUUAAUACUGCUGAUGUAGCACAAAACAUUUAAUGCAUAUUUAGGGGGUGUUUGAUAAAUGAGUUUCAAAUUCAAUUAUAGCAUAGACGACCUACUUUUUGAAUCAACAUGACUGCAUAUAACUGUAACUUUGACAAACUCAAGAUUCUUGACCUCAAAUGCUUGUCUAAUCUCAUCUAAAUCAUGCGGUGUGAAAUUUCAAAGUAGAAGACUAUGGGUACAGUUGGACAUAAACAAACAUCAUUCAUGAAUAUAAUUGAAUUUGACACUCAUUUAUCAAACAUCCUCUAAAUAUGCAUUCAAUGUCAUGUGGCACAUCAGUAGUAUUAGUACGUGGAACUACGCAGACGGGAUUCUCUGUCCAUUAUGUCUGUCAAUUUUUUUGUCCAAUACAAAACUACGUAGUUUUAUUUAUUAAUACUAUUGAUGUAACACAAAACAUUGAAUGCAUAUUUAGGAGGUGUUUGGUAAAUGGGUUCCAAAUUUAAUUAUAGCAUGGAUGGCCUAUUUUUUGAAUCAACAUGACUGCAUGUAACUGCAACUCUGACAAAUUCAAGAUUCUCGUCCUCAAAUGCUUGCCUAAUCUCAUCUAAAUCAUGUGGCGUGGAAUUUCAAAAUAGAAGACCAUGGGUUCAGUUGGGCAUAAACAAACAUCAUUUAUGGAUAUAAUUGAAUUUGACACCCAUUUAUGCAUUCAAAUACCCCCUAAAUAUGCAUUCAAUGUCAUGUGCCACAUAAACAGUAUUACUAUGUGAAACUAUGUAGUUUUGCAUUGAACAAAAAAAUGGAUAGAUAUAAUGGAAGAAUCCCGUCUGCGAUGGUUAAGUGAUAUUUUGAUAUCCUCAAAGUUUAUCCCCAAAAUCCCUCAAAUUUUGGUGCAGAUUUGAUUCUCAAAAUCCCGAUGGCGGCAAGUUGAGCUAUCUUUGCAAGGUGGGAAGAAGUAAUAGGUUUACGUCUACGGUGGAAAGCUCACUUUUCUGCCCACAAUAGGCGGAAGCAAUGCAAGGAAUCGUGACUAACGUCCCAAGAGUCUCGCAAGCGGAACAAAAGCCAACAGGAUAGGAAUGGCAACUGAUACGUAAUGUUCUAUUUGGUACUUCUUCUUUCCCUUAUCAUCACGGUUGCCUGCAGAAUAGUGGAAACAAUUCGUUGCAUUGUGAUAUUGUAACCUUCUUUUGUUUGAUUUGGUGAUUCUUAGUAAGACAAUUACGAUUUGAUAGUUUGGAUAUGUCUAAUGAGAUUGAGACUUUGCAUAGAGGACCCAAAAAUUCAUAGACCGAAUCUGUAGACUUGAAAAAGUAUUUUCCGACAACCAGUUGCCAGUAACAAACAACACAUCAUGGAUACUUUCCGGUAAUCUAUCACUGAAUGCUAUUAAUUCCUCGUAUUCCUAUUCCAUUAUCCAUGGAGGGUAACACUAGAAUCAGUGCCAUGUACCCUUUAUCUGGUGAGGAUGAUUGAAAUAGUAUGUUAUUACAAACUUCCAUCCAUUCUGUUCAGUAUAAAACAUUCAAUGAAACAUAGCACUAAGUUCUCUCCACUCAGGCACCCUGAGAUUUUUGGAUUUAUCUGCAGUUGUGAUAUGAAUACUAAUGAAUUCCAUCUGCCUGAUCAGUACUAACGCUGCCACAGUUGAAGUUCUGCUAUGGAAAGAAAAUUAAGAGUCCUAAUCGAAUGUGACAAUUAUUAUGCUCAAUCUUUGUUUUUCAACUUUCUUCAGUGCAUUAUUGAUGAUUCGAGGUGGAAAAUAUGGGUCAUGCCAAAGUUUUGCCUGGUUUCAAUCUACAAAUUGAGCAAAAAAGAAUUUACUAGAGAAGCACAUAUGAAACAUUGAAUUGUUUUAUAAAACCUCAGCAAUGUGGCCGAAGAGUAUUACUGAUUACAAACAUGUAAAAAGACAUUUUGCUUAGACAGAUGGGAUUUCAAGAAAACAAACUAGAAUCAUGGAUAAGUUCGUAGUACAUAAUUAAGAAAUGCUAUUACUUCCUGGUUGCUCCUUAAACAUGGUACUAGACUCUUAUCCCAUCUCCAUUUUAUCUAGUGAGAGUGUAGGAGAUCAUAUGGCAUCAGCAAACUUCCAUCCAUUCUCUUUAACACAAAACUUUCUACCAAGACAUAGCAACCAAAUUCUCUCCAAUCACCCUUUUCUCCAAAAUUUUCUUUCCUCUCAACUCUCAUUUGCCUUCCUUUCCCACCUAACCGUCCAGAUCUUCCUUGCUCGCAUUUCAUUCUUUGAACUAACUCCACACUUAGACCUACAUUUGCUUCUUCUCCAGCUCUAUUGAUGCUCCUAAACCAUAUCUUUCCUUCAACUACAUUUCUCUCAACUAGUUAAGUAAAUAUUAUAACUUCAUGGUGUUAGCAGUAUGCUCUAGAGCAUUAAUAAUUAUUGUCUUGAUUAAAAUAAAAUGGCACUUCUUGAUUCAAUUAUUCUUGGUUUAGAUUUGAUUGAAUGUUGUCUAUUAUUAUUUGUUAAGGUUCCAUUCUCAUGUGAUGAGAAUAUGAGUGACGGAAAAACUUGGUACAAAUAAUAUUAAAUUGUUCCUAACCAUAGGAUUAUUAAUUGGGCAAGUUUAAUCCGGAAGAUUAGUCUCAUAUUUAUUUUCUAUGAUUAAUAUGAGAUAUUAAUGAUAAUAGAAUGGCGAAUCUCAUACCAUUAAGUAUGUGAUACUAGAACAAAUAUGAGAGGCACUUGUGUGACAAGUUGGCUUGAACACUGACUAAUUUAAAUAAUGAAUCAUUAGCUUAUUAAUGUCAAUGAUUCAUUAUUGAUUGCAAUGGUGCAUGUGAUCCUUAGACCUGAGAUGAUACGGUUGACUCAUUCAUGGGUGGUUAAAGUCUAUCAAUGCAGAAAAUACUUGUUCUAAUCACGGAUGAGUAUUGGCAUAUGGUACCUCUAAUUAGUUAUGCAUGGAGCUAAGUGUUUAUGCAAAAUGGGAUCUAUUAUUCCAUCAUGAAUGGUUUGAUAUCUUAUGAAAUCUAUCAAUCUUGACUAAAGGAGUUCUUGGCCAAGACAAAUUGAUUCAUGUAGAUGAUCAAUUUUAUAGUCAAGUAAUUUGAUAGAUUAAGUCAUACGAUUGAGUUUUAGAGUUUGACAUUAUUACUAAACUGAACUCAAUAGGGAUAUAGUAAUAGAAGGAUUUUUAUGCAAAACAAUUGCAGUCAUGGUUCACAUAAAAGGAUUCCAAUCUUUCAUCACCGGUUGGGUGUCAUGAUAUGCUGCUAGGCAUCACUCAUGAACUAUGUUAACUUGAGGUAUAUUUGGAGAACUUCUCAAGUGUUAGAAAUGUUCUAACUAAUGUUAAUAGGCUAACGUUUAUUACAUUGCCAACUGGGUAAUGGACCUAGAUAGUCACACACAAAAGGAUUUGAACUAAUAGGGAAGUUGAUUAGAAUGGGUUUAGACUUUGAUAAGGAUGCUAGCACAUCUUGAAACCUAAGCUAGAUGGAAUUUGGAGUUGGUAUUUGAGUAUGACUCAAAUAUUAUAAAGAUGAAAAUAAUAGUUAAUAUAAUUAUAUUAAUUGUGUUUAUAUUUUGAUGUGAUCAAAACUAAAACAUGAAUUAAAUAAUUGUAUUAAUUGUAUUCUAUUUUGAUUUGAUCAAGAUAAGAAUAAAAAUAUAAAUCGGCUGUUUUGAUUUGAUCAAGAUAAGAAUCAAAUAUGUAUUGGAUAAUCAUAUGAAUUAUGUAAUAUUGAUUUGAUCAAGAUAAUAUAAGAUAUUGAUCUAAUCAAAACAACUGUAUAAAUAAGCCCUAUUGACAAAGAGUUGUCAAGGGUCUACUAGGGUGAAAAACAAUCACGAUUGUUUUUGGAAAAGGAAGAAAGCAAUAUCGUUGUUUCUUCACUACCGAAACAAAACUCCAAAAUUCAGUAACCUAUUAAUUUGAGUCUGUGUGGACGAACUAGAGGCCUGACGUGUGGAAGGCUUAUUGCUGGAAUUCAAACAUCUACAUCAGGCAUCGCAUAUUCGUCUAAACAAGUAAGUACUUAUUUGUUUUGAAAUAUGAAGGCCUGAAUCAAAUUGCAACUUCAAGCAAGAAGAACAAAACUAAACUGUUUGCUCAUUCCGCUGCGCAAAUAAUUUUCUUUCACAUGGCACAUACUUUUGCACAUCUUGAUUAAUCGCCAUAACCGUAGAUGUUUUCCGUGUAUUUUCCAUUAUGGAUAAAAACUAAAUUUAUGUGGAUAUUUUGAAAGCUUAUGAGAUUGUAUUAUUAUGCACAAGCACAGAGGGUUGAGACAUUUACCCAAAACAAAGUAUACCUUAGUUUUGUCAUCUUUACCAGCAUGGAGAACCUUCCCUCCCUCAGUUAUGGAGUCAGGAUCAUAGCUACUAGAGAAUCAAGCAGUUGGACUGUUUUUUUCCGGAACUGCUCUUCUGAUAUUUCGAGAUCAAAAUCUAUGGACCAAGACACCAGGCAAAGUAAAAUUUGAUGCAGCAAAUUUGCGAAAUGAUUUAAUUUGACAUUUAGUUGGAAAGUUAACAAAAGAUUACAAUAUAACGUUACACAUUGUUUAGCUCCUAAGGUCACCUGGUAAAGAAUUAGUCUUUCCAUUUUGGGCUAAACCAAACCACAUUUUUUAUUCAGACGACGUUUUUUAUUCACACACUAAUCAAAUAUCAAAGGAGGAUAACUUAGCAGAGUCUCUUGCACCAUGGUUGAGGUUCUCCAGACCACAUCUUUAUUGCCCGUUAGUCAUUGGCUAAUCCACCUAGCUUAGUAUUAUUGGUAGCACGACAGAAACAAUUUCAGGCAAAGUUUGACAGUUGCUGUUUUACAUCUAUCAUCAAGUUGCCAAGAGUUGCUGGAAUGGUCUUUUGGGCCCUAAAAACAUUCAUUUAAACCACAACAGAGUCUACUAUGCAAGGUAAUAUCCAGAAUGCACUAUUGGAUGAGCAAAUAUAAUCAAUUUAUUCCAUGAAACAGAAAAUGCUAGAGAAGUAACCUUGAAAUACUGACAUUUUAUAUGGACCUCAAUAACCACAUACUUACAUAUAUAUUUACGGAUAUUUUUGUCUUACAAGCAGUGUGUGGAGAAAACAAACCAAAAUUAAGGAUGAGACCAACGCAAAUCAAGAAAACAAACCAAAAUCUAGGAUAAGUCUAUGGUAAUAGAACGUUUACAAAUGCAACAGUGAAGAGACUCAAUCCCAUGUGCACUUGAUCUGGUGAGGGUGUUUGAAAUCAUAUGUCAUUAGCAAACUUCCAUCCAUUCUCUUAAACACAAAACUCUCAACCAAAACAAAACAUCCAAAUUCUCUCCACUCACCCUUUUCUCCAGAGUAUUCUAUCCGUUCCACCCUCACUUGCCUUUCGUUCCCACCUAGCCAUCCAGCUCUUUCUUGCUCCCAUUUCAUCCUUUGAACUAAUUCUAUGCUCAGACCAACUGUCGCUUCCUCUCCAGCUCUCCCAAAACUCUUAAACCAUAUUGUUCCUUCAACAACAUUUUUCUCAUCCCACACAGCUUUGUUGCCAGCAAUGUAGACAGCUUCUCGAUCAAUGGUGACAUCUAUGGACACAGACUUCGCCUCAUGAUAGAUAUUCUGUGUUGAAUAUACCUGCUCCCACUUUUGCUCCAGAGUCACCUGAUAAAACAUUGAUCUUUUCAUCUGAUCUUUCACUAUCCCAUCUUUGAUAAACAGAAAAGGGCUAUACCAUUUCCCUACUACAACAGCUUCAGAACUCUUAUACGAUGGUGGUACACUGAAUUCAGGAAGGCGGGCUCGUAGAGUAGCAUUGAGACCAGGAGCUUCGUCUAAUUUGUAGUGUUUUGGAGUUUUAGUGCGAACUGACCACCCUUUUCUUCUCAAGAAAUAGGGAGGAAAACCAUCAGGCGCAACAGAUUUAGCAUAAAAGUAACCCCUGCCAGCGCAAGGUGUUUCACGAACAAAAACCUCAAAUUGUUGGUAAAUGUUCUUUGGAUCAAAUGGCCUUGGUUUAAUAUCUUUAACACAACGACAGAAACAGCAGGUGGUCAUGUCUUCUUCCCUAGAACAAGCCACGGCUUGCCUGAAAUAAUGAGGAGGAGAUUAAUUAGGAAAUGCUCCGUGACAAACCAAUCAGAUUAAGGAACAAAUUAGUGGCAUACUGUAGGAAAGCAUUAACAUGCAAUUAUUAGUUCUUCAGGUUCUGGAUUGAGAACUUUUAGAUGUGAAGAUAGCUGUUUCAAGUUUUCUGCAGAGGCUAGAGCGUAAUACAAGUGAUGAAUGCAGUUAAGUCGCAAUUUGUCAACCAAAAUUGUUUUAUUAAAAUUGAUUUUGUUCAUCAAAAUUCUCUUCCUGCUGUAAAAUUAUGCUGACUUUGUUUUCUGGAACUUUGCAUCUCCUUUUAAACUUAGCCUGCUUGAAGACUAGUUGAAUUAUAUUCAGGCCACUCAAUUCCAAGGUUUCGAAGUGCAUGAUUCUGGUAUAGUUCUUUUCAGUUGAAGCUCAUUCUCUAUUUCAAAGAAGAAUCAGUUCCUAACCAGUCAUUUAAAACUGAACUAAAAAACAAGCUCAUCAAAACAUAAACAUAAGUUAAAACCAGAAGAAGGACCUUUUUGAUACAUACCCUUUGUGAUCAUUUAAAACUGAAGUAAAAAACAAGCUCAUCAAAACAUAAAUAUAAGUUAAACAAGAAGAAGGACCUUUUCGAUACAUACCCUUUGUGAUUUCCAUGUGGCUUGAUGACAUAGUAGCGAUUCGAAGACAAAGGAAGGUUGAGAACUGGAAUGAAGACAGCAUCAUUAAGGGAAACAUGUUGGCUCUCACCACUACUUUGUACGUAGCGAACUGUCAAGUCCUUGUUCUGAGGAAACGGCAGAUCCCUCAGGGUUCGAUUCUUGCACAAUCCAAAACAAGAAUAUGUCUCCGAUUCUUCAUCUUGAAUUACCAAGUAUCCGGAAUUUGGACCCUCCGGGGGUAAUGAAAGUGCAUCUGGAUUCUUUGUGUACUCAGAAAGUGGCCUUGCAACAUACAUAUUUCCCAAAUUUUCUUCCCCAGUCCUCCUGUGUUAGUCUAUUUAUUGAUGUUUACAGAUGUUUGACAAGUCGUAUUUGCAAAUACCAUAUCCCUCUCUGUCUCUAUAUGUAUAUCUACAAGAGGAUAAGGUGGGAACAUUUAGAAUCUUCAGUAUACAACCAAGGAAGUUUUUUUUUUUUUUUUUUUUUUUUGAAGGAACUAAGGAAGUUCACACUUGACAAAAUAAUAUCCUAAUGGCAAAGAUGGGUUAGAAAUCAACCAACCUGGAAAAGUUGAACAAGUUAGCUAGCCAGACAACAAGCUGACCAGUGCUGAAUCUGUUUGCAGAUACAAUUUCCUCGUUGAUUCCAGGAAAGUUACCCGGGAUCAGCUUAUAUUUGGAGCCAAAACCUUGAAAACAAGAAGUUUAUGCAGAUUCAAGUUUUACUGUUUUGCAGAUAAACAAUGUCCGGCAACAUUUGCUAAUUAUUUUUUGACAACGUCAAGAAAAUUAAACAGAUUAUCUUUUGUCAAACGUGUAGCCGUGUACUCGAGAAAAUUUGACGGACUCUAACAUGACGGCAACAGCCAGAUUUUAGCUAGUGUUACAGAAGAUAUUAAAAAAUUGUCAAGGUUAAGAUGUUAUAGUUUAUCUGCAUUCUUCUUUUACACGCAGGAAGCCAAGAAGUCUUUGCUAAUUAUUUUAAGGUUGACCCGUAACUGAUAUUUCUCGUAGCUGGUCGAGCCUCUGAACAAACAGACGAAAGAAACCACUACCAAGAAGGCUUGAACAAACAGUAAAAACUUCUAUUCCAGUCUCGUGUAAUUUUGGGCCUGGAUAUUUGGUUAUGUUCUUUUUUUAUCUGAGUACCCCUGUAGGGGUGGGCUGCUUUGGGUUCUAAGGUUAGACGGCAAUCAUGUUAUCAUUUAGGGGUGGGCUGCAAAACACCCAUUUGGCCUGUUGGGCCAUGUACAAAGUAGUUGGCGAGAAAAUAUCUAUGUAUAUCUACAUGUUUUUUGUCCAUUUUAUAUGGAAUCUCAUCCAACAGAACACAUAAUUGUGGAUUUCUGGGGACAGGAUCAUAUGUUUAUGCAUCUUGCUGAGAUUUAUGAUUUUUUAUGCCUGAUGAAAAUGACAAUUUUGGCAGUUUCUUUAUAUUUCAAAGUCGAAAGUCAUUGUCUGAUGAUCAAUUUCUUUCGUGCGUAGCGUGUUAGAACUUUUACAGGAUUGCCUCUUAGCUGCUACAUGCCACCUGAGUUCUGGGCUGCUUGAAGAAAUUAAACAAAAGAGGAUGUUGUUAGUAUGUUGGACUGGGAUAAUGCUAAUUUGACAGAAGAACUCAGCUGAAGAAAAACAUUUGUUAGGCAUGAAAAUGUACUGGAACUGAACUUAGUUAUUAUUCUAUUCAUAUACAUAAGAUUCACAAAGUUCAAAGAAAUAACACCAAAGCAAAAUCCCUUAGUUAUUUGUGUUCAUUUUUCUAGGAAAAAGGUAGACUGCAAGGCGAUACAGGAGAGACUGAAUUAGUAAAGAGGAAUACUAAGUAAAAACAGUACAUUCAUACAACAGAGUGGAGACAGUAGAUUCUCUAUUUACUAUUGAUUGACGACCAUUCUAUAGUCUUCUGUUAAAUUCUCCUUUUUCAAGAUUUGAAUAUAACAAUUUCUUCUUUCUUACUUGCGUUUGAUCUCCUACCAGAAUAUUGCUUGGAAAACCAUUUCCAAACCUUGUAGCUAUUAGUCCCCCUCUUUAGUCCUCCUCUGUCAUUCACAGCAAUUCUGCAAGAGCCACCAUUGCAAGGAAAAGUCUCACCCCUCAAGCCGCCAGUAGCACCAUGAUCCGAAGCAUCACUGGUUCUGAAAGCAGGAAGUUCUGGUUUUGAUUCUGAUGAUAAAUCAAGUUUUAAAUCGAUAAAAGCUGAAUCAUCCAUGGCAGAAAAAUCACUUUCUUUAACAGGAAAAAUGCUCCUGUUUGGAACACUAUAUGCUCUAUCUAGCUCCAAGGGGCCAACUUUCUUCAAACUCCUUAAAUCAAUACUAUGUUCAGCAUCUGAUACAUGUCUGCAGCCACUUUUUCUUGGUUCUGCUUCAUUGAACAAGCCUCUGAAUCCACUUUUCCGCGGUUCUGAUUCAUCUGAUGCACCUCUAAACCCACUUUUUCUUGAUUCUCCUUCACUAAAUCCACAUUGUCUGUCAUAAUCGAAGAGUAUGCCCCCAGUGACAUCAGAGAUUUUAGCACUUGAAUACCUAUAAUCACUACCUUCAUCAGUGUCAUUGAAUCCACCACCCCUGAAACUACAGAGAGAUCUUGACCUAGAAACUCCCAUAACAUCCGACACCCAAGCAUCACUUUUAUCGUCAAACUGACCAUCUUUUUCACAACCCUUUUGUUUUUUCUUCCUAAAAAGCCUCUUAAUUUUCCAAAAUCCCUUGUAUCUCUUCACCUCAACGCAGCUACUGCUGCUCCUCCUGAGCAGGAUGACUUCCUCAGGUUUAUCCCCUUUCUUAGGCUUCUGAUGCAACUUUUGCAGCUCAGUCUUUUCAUUAUCAAUGAGAAAUGAGAUUCUCCCAACGCUUCCAACAUCUGCGGUGCAUGAUGAAUUCCUGUAUGAUGAGAUGUCAGAGCAAGAACAGGAGGAGAGCCUUUGUUCUCCACAUUCAGAGCAAACCAGCUUCACCAAUCUAUCUUUAAGACAAUAAGCACAGAUCCCAACUGAAGAGGAAGAUGGAUGCUUCUUGCAUGGCAUUUCUGAUGAAGAAGAGUAAUUGAAAUCUGUGCACAUACUCUCAUUAUAUACCUCCAGAGCUUUCCCUCUUUCUUUCAUGGCUUUAUACUCAAAUUUAGCUACUGGGAACUGCAAAAUUCUCAAUAUGGCUCAGAACAAUUCAGCGAAGUGAAGAAUUAUCAAGAUAAGUUACUAACUCGCUAUAUAUAUAUAUAUAUAUAUAUAUGAACUCACAACCAGGAAAUUCGAAGCAGCUAGUAAUUGGACAAAGACCAGCUAAGCCAAUCUACAGUGGUAGCUUUAGAUGAAUAGAGGCUAUUACAGUAGUAUUACUAGAUAUCAAGAUUUGUAGGUGUAGGUGGUCAGAAUUGGUCGAUAUCUAGGAUUACUAGAGAAAGGGCAAAAAGGACUUGUAAUUCAAUGAUCAAAAGGCACAAGAAGAUUAUGCAGAAGAGAUCAGGAGUGGAGGAGGCGUCACCUUUACGUUUUCUUUUCAAGAAACAGUAGCGUUUAUUGCAAAGAAGGAAGAGUGAUGGAAAAUGCACACUGCAGGUAUCAUUGUGUGGGGGACUGGGAAUGAGUGAUAGAUGACACUUUUUUAAGUUGAGUAAAGGAAUGAAUCUACCUGUUUCUGCUGUCAAUAAAUUUCUUUGGUACUCAAAUCUCUGCAACUGUUGUUCUCAUGCAACAAAUUUCAGCUCAACAUCAUAAUUUUACCAAGAUUGUGAAAAGUCUUGCAGCUUGUGGUUUUGCAUCAGUCAAAUCUUUCUUCUUUCAUGUCCCAACUUUAUGUAGAUUUUCUUUAACUCUUACACAUCUUUUUGCAGGAUCUGUAGACUAUUCUUUUAUCUUGACAAGCGCAUAAAAUUUUGUUACUACAGUUGCAUCCAAUUGGGAAAAAAAAAAAAAAUCAGAACCCUGAAAACAUACUACUCUUUAUACGAUAAUAGUCAUGCAAUAUAAACUUUGUUUCACUUUCUAUAAGACUCUGACAUUUAGCCAGCAAUCCAUCUGCUGCUAAAUGUAGUUAUCACCUAUUUAAACUUGCUACUAAAAUGAUUAGUAAGAAAAAAAGACAUCCAACUGAACAUAAUACUAGGAGGCUAUUAUACAUUGGAUUCGGAUUGUGGUUAUUUAUUUCUAAAAGAUAACAUUAAUAUAAUAAUAUCACCAUCUCUUUUGCAAUUGAUGUUUAGGACAGCAACAUAAGAAUUAUCUUAUACUAGUCUAUUUUCUAAAAGAUAGUUCUUUUUUUUUUGUCCUCCAAAUCGGCUGGUGGGGUACUCGGGAUUGAAAAUGAAAGCAACUCACAAGUGAGCAUGAGCCAAGCAUUCAAUUGUUUACAUGUCCAUGACCAUACAACCAUUAAUGAUUAAUCAGAGAUCUUGGGCUCCAACUUUCACUUGCUGGAAAAAAUUUGAACACGUAUCCCACUGACAAUUUAAUGUUUGGAUGGACCUAGGUGGAUUACUUAUGUAGUAUUGUCCUCCAUUUCAGACUAAAACGAUGCAAGUUUUAAGGCUGAAGAUUUUAGUUAUUUGCAAAAUCCCAUCAGUCUGUUGAGUUGUUCCAUCACAAAAUGUGCAAAAUUGUUGACUAUGUCAUUGGCUUAUUAUUUUGUCCAAUCCCCCGUUGUGUUCACUUCCCUCUUGGAUUUCUUGAGUUGUACUAUGAUAUUGAGAUUACAUGUCUUUUCUUAACGUUGGAUUUAGAAUUGCAAUUGGUUCCUUCAAAAAAAAAAAAAAAAAUUGCAAUUACUUUAUCCUUGUUGUCGUCAAAUAUGAACCAUUCAUGUCUAAUGAAAAAAGUGCGACCAAUCCCAGAAAGCACCAACUCUUUGUUUCCAUUUUUUUUCUUGGAUAAAAUAUCAAAAAAUUCCCUAUGAUUUACCAAAUGUACAAUUUAACUUUUCUCUGAUUUGAAAACCUACACUGUAAUUCCCAAUGGUUAUAACUACAUUGAAAAUUGAACGAAAAGCAUUUAAUCUAAUGAUUGUACAUGAAAUGUCAACAAUAAUAUUAUCCUUGCAUAAAUGGACUCCCUGUAGUUUGUUUCAAUCUAAUGAUUGUACAUGAAAUGUUAAUAAUAAUAUUGUCCUUGUAUAAAUGAAUUUCCUGUAAUUUAUCGAAUGUUCAAUUUAACUCCCUCUAAUUUAAAAAACUGUACUACAGCUCCAUGUGAUUUCGACUAAAUUGAAAAUUGAACGGAAAACAUUUCACGUAUAGCAACGGCAAUAUUAGUUUUUUAGCUUAAGUGUAGACCACUGAUGCUCUUGCACCAACAUGUAUGAAUUGGAGAAGGUGUAUAGAACAACUGCCUUUUGGAGUCAAAAGCAGGUAAAGCACUUCAUUUUGCAGAAAUGAAGUGGUUUCAGUGUGCUUAACAUGACUAAUUAAGGCCAAUGUGACAUGCAAUGGGUUUCUUCUGCCUCCUUGCAAUUCCAACUUUUUGCUUCAGGCUCUUUGUCAGUGUCCUUCUCCACUUCGUCUGCUGAUGCGUAAGCCCUAGAGAAAUGACUAGUAUUCGGAGUGCUAUUUAUGCAUUAAUGCCUAGUUUCUGCUAAGAGCAGAUUAAGAUACCAGGGAUAACUUUGUUUGCUAAUCCUACCUCCAGUGCAUUACUAGACUGCAGAUUCUCAAAUAGUUAUUUAGCCUUUCUAUAAAAUGAUGUUGGCUUUUUUCUCCCUCUUUUUCAGGCUGCCCGAGAAAUCUCGUCUCUGAUUGAUUUAGAACAGUCUUUGACUGAACCUUAUAUUGCACAUGUAGCAUUGGAAAAUCUUCGAUGUAACUCUGCUAUAUUUAUCGGAAACAGCAUGGCAAUACGCGAUGCAGACAUGUAUGGGUAUAACUGGGCAAAAUGUACCCAUGAAACUUCAGAGAUGCUGAGCUCAGGAUUCCAAUGUCACCGUAUUCAGGUUGCUGGGAAUAGAGGAACUGGUGGCAUAGACGGGCUGCUUAGCACGGCUGUUGGAUUUGGUGUUGGCUGCAACAAACAUGUAAGUAGCUUGGCAUUGAUUUGCAUAUCCUUUCCGAGGUUUCACUUUCUAAUAUCUGAUUCUUCUUUUUUCCCCUAGCCGCUGCUUGAUAAGUGUACAAUAAAUCUACUUUGGUUAUUGUAAUCUUUGCAAAGUUCUAUCUCCAUCGACUUUUUCUUUUGUUGUUUUCAGUCAAAUUUCCAAUUGGGAACAAAGCUGAAUUCUUUAUUUUUUAGGUUUAUUUUUGAGUUUCAUAUAACUUGAGUGUGGGAUGCACCAGUAAAAAUUUAACAGCAGUUCAGUGCCAUUUUGAGUGUGUGAACAGUAGCCUGUAUGGAGCUGAUGAGAUGACAAGUCCAAAGCACUUUUUUUUUCUUGAAAAGCAUUUAAACAAGUAAAUAAAAGAAAAUAACUGCUGAAAUUUUGUUAAAGGGCUUUUUGUUGAAGUAGAUACCCUGCUUCUUGUGCAAUAUAAAAGAAAACAAAAAGAGAAGCAAAAAAUUGAAGAAUGAGUUUUUUGUAUCUUAAUGUUUAGUAAAUUGAUGAGCCUUCAUUACAUUCCCAGCAAGAAUAAAUGGACAAAUAAGCAAAGAUCAUUUUUUGUUAAGUGAUUAAUUUUAUUCUUUUCAGGUUCUUUGUCUAAUUGGAGAUGUUUCUUUUCUGUAUGACACAAAUGGACUGUCACUACUGAGACAAAGGUAAUUAGAUAUUCCUCCUCCUUUUCCCUCUCCUCUCAUGCCAUUCACUAUAACAUUUUGCCUCUGAUGCCCAACUAUUACAUCUAAUUUGACAUGCUUAUCUAGUCAUGCAUACGAGAAGCAUUCUUUGUCAAAGAAACAACCUCUCCUUUCUUGGACAGAUCCCAUUCAAGAUAGCUUCCUGUUCCUAUCCUUUACCAUACUCAAGCAUGGUUUGAACUACUUCUUUGGUUUCCCCUCAUUAUGUGGAUAUACACUAUGUUAAGCUUAAAAUUUUUUCUGCCAAGCCAGGCAAAAUCAUCUUGUACCAUAUAUUCCCCUUAAUUGCUGGUUACCCUGUAACUGUCUUUCUAGAACAUCUACGGUUUCAUGACAUUUUGCAUUUACCUCUCUUCAUUUCCCUCCCUUUGCUAAACCUAAAGUAGCCCAUUUAUUGUAUUCCACCUCAAUGUAACUCUGUAUGCUGAAAUGUUAUUGAUCUUGUUUGUUUGAAGGGUAUUGCGGAAGCCAGUGAUUGUAAUUGUAAUAAACAAUCAGGGUGGUGCAAUUUUCAGUCUCCUGCCAUAUGCAAAGCUGACAGAUCACAAAAUUCUAGAUCAAUUUUUCUACACAUCUCAUGAUGUUGCUAUUGGGGAUCUAUGCAUGGCACAUGGGUAGUAUUUCUAUGCCCUUUAUACUGUCAUGUGUGGAAUGACUUCACUCCCUUCCUCUGUGUGCUUUCCAGACUACAGGGGCGUGCCUUCUCUUAAUAUGAGAAAUGUGAUUAACUAAUUUGGGCGAGUUGCGCAAUAAUCCGCCUCUAAUUCCCUUUCUUGUACUUCAUUCUGAAGCCCCUUUCCUUCUGCUAAAAGGGCUUUUUGAGAUGCUGCAUCGUUGCUUCUGCAAUAAAGGGGAAGUACUGUUUGUUUAACAGAAUUUAUGUUACUUUCUAGCGAUAGAAGGCAAUCUAACUGGAUGUAGCUUUUUUAGAUAGGCUUUUCCCGGAAUUGGUGAAACCCGUACUAGAGUUUUCUCUUUACAGAAAGUCCUAAUAACCAUGUGUCAGUUAUCUGACAGCAUUAGUCUCUCAGAUAAACCACUUGUUAAAAAUGAAAGAUAAAGGAUUAAAUAUUUUCCUCCUAUUCUUGUAUGAUUCACAUAUUCUUGAAUUUUGGUAAAGAAAAGCUCCAAUUAUGCAGCAUGAAGCAUGCACAAGUUCAGACAAAGAAGGAAUUGGGUGAAGCUUUAUUAACAGCCCAGCAAGAAAACUGUGACUACGUCAUAGAAGUAAAGAGCUGCAUUGACAACACAGCGACCUUUCACAGGUAUCAUGGUCAAUACUAGUUUGGAUUACACAUCGCCUAUGAAUGUAACUAAUUUGAAUGCUCUGCUUACACAUUGCAUUCCUCUUCUCAGUCAUUUGGGGCAUCCAUUUCUCAGGCCAUUGAUCAUUCUUUAGGUGUGCUCUCAAAGCUUUCACAAUCAGAAACAACCUUACAUGGAAGUUCAAGUAUUAGAAUCUCUAAAAUGGAGUAUUCUCUGUACAGGUAAGUCCUUUUAUAUGGAUGAAAUUUAAGGUUUUCUAAGACUACAACCUGAAUCUGAUGUGAUUUUAAAAACUGUAUUAUGGCAGGAUUCCAUUAAGAGCUCCACCAACUUCAUCUUCUGGCAAUAAUAACUCUUCCAUAUUCUACAGAGAAGGAUUUGUCAUAAGCUUGUGCCUUGAGGGUGGAGGUACUGGGUUUGGGGAGGUAAGGCUCAUGCUAUCUCUUCUUAGUUUACCAUUUUAGAAGGGUAUGCAGACAUGAAUAUGUAACUCUGCUUUUGCAUCAAGGAACCCACUAAACUUGAACUAAGAUCAUGGAACAUGUUGAGCUAAAAUUUCCAGAUUACCUGGCAUGAUAGUUUGGGAUUUCACUACUGUUUUGUGUUAGUAACUGACAAUUUGAUUGCAUAUCUCAGAGAGCAACACAUCUGGCCUCUAAUUCCUGCUUUUCUCAAUUGGCAUAUUCAGUAUAAUCUGUCAACUCCUGCUAACUGUCCUGUAAGAGAUGCGGGAAAUUGUGACUAGGUCUACAUCUCAACAGCUUUAAUAUGCCUCUUCACGGCACUGAUUGAAUUGAUCAAAGACUUGAAUUAAAACUUGUCAUGUGGCUAGUUUACAGCCUUUUUAAAAUCCAAAGGAGUUGUUUCCUCAAGUGGCUGAAACCCUAUAAACAAAAGGGAAAGAAAAAGGAAAUAAAAGGGAAUUAUACAAUCACCAUAAGAAGCUUCUGUCACUAAAUUGAGUAACAACUUCACUAUAUGUAGUUUACCAUUAAGCAGCAGAAAUUUACUAGUGAUGAAUAAGUGAGAAGGGGUCUCUGACAGGCUCCCACUCGAUCACACCCAUUGAUUUACUUGAUGUAUGGUGGAAAACUUGAAAAUGAUAUCAAAAGGUGUGCAACAAGUCAUUUUAAUUCUCAUUGUUUAAGUUGAAAAGCAAAGAAAAGAGGGUACAAUAUACAACUUAGGAGUAAUUUCUUGUGGCCUGUUUAAUAUUUGCAACAUAUUUCCAUAUAUUUCGAGUAAAAUCUUGGAGCAUUGUGCUAUGCGGUUGUUGGUGUACAAGUUUAAAUACUUGGUUCAACUACACCUGAAGGUGAGGCUGGAAAAAAUAUGAGUUGAAAACAAAGGUCUAACUGCCAUUUGAGGAAAAAGCCUGUCUCCAUGUUAUAAUGGGAAGUUGGCAAGAAUGUCCUCCAAAGUUCUUAUAAUGCCUAAACAAAGUUCCAUCCAUAAGCCUGUCUCCACUUUUUUGCCCCUUAACUGGACAUGAAACAUGGGCAUUUGAACAGAAGAUUGACCUGUGAUUGGUAAACUCUGCUACUCCUUGUGGAGUGGGGCGUUGCACAUUAUCCCUGAGGUAAUAGGAUAUCAGAUUUUGAAAAGAAAUAGGGAAAAUGAAAAAGUAAAGUGUUUUUGUCUACUAUUAGAUGCUACAAGAAAUUUGUAUUUCUGAUCCACAUUGCAAUAUUUACCUGUCAAAACUUUCUCAUUUCUCUUCCAUGUUUGUGCUUUCUGUCCUCUUGCUCCCAUGUUCUCUUUAUAGAUUUUGAUGUCUUGCCUUUAGCUAUCAAAGAAUUGAGCUUCUCCUGAGGUUUUGUUUAACUUUGUAAACAGGUGGCACCCCUUGAAAUACACAGAGAAAACCUGCUGGAAGUUGAAGAGCAACUUCGCUUUCUUAUUCAUGUUAUAGAAGGAAGAGAAAGUACUUAUUUUCUUUCACUACUCAAUGGGUCUAUAUCAUCUUGGAUAUGGAAUUGCUUGGGAAUAUCGGUAGGUUAAUGGAUCUAUCAUUAUUUAUUUGAAAAUCUACUAUAUGCUUAGAUAGUGUCAUUUGGGAGUUUGGAGGUCGGGAAGAAGGGAACAGCAAUGGGGCAUAAACUCUAAUCACUCAACUUAGCCAUCCUGCAUCUAUUACGUUGAUCUUCUUGGUGAUAUCAUCUUGAAUGCUGUUAUGUUUGCAAUCCUUGUACAGCCAGAUUCCCUAUUUCCAAGUGUGAGAUGCGGUUGGAGAUGGCUAUACUCAAUGCUAUUGCAGCCAGCAAAUCUUCCAGUUUAAUAGACAUAUUCCAUCCAAGGACAGGAGAAUUACAUACAAAGGGGACAGCUGUGAAGAUAUGUGGCCUCAUUGAUUCCAUUGGAGGUCCCACAGAUAUGGCUUCUGCUGCAUCUGCCCUUGUUGAAGAGGGUUUUGCUGCUAUAAAAUAAAGGUGAAUACUUUUAGUCCAAAAUUUUGCCGGUCAAUUUUUAUUUUCUGAGAUUGUUAUAGGAUACUAUCAAAUAGCUAGGUUUGGUAGAACAAACUUUAUCAAUUCUUCCACUUAUAGGUGGCACGUAGGAGCAACCCCAUCGAGGAUGCCAUGGUUAUACAAGAGGUUAGAAGAAAAGUGGGGAAUCAUGUUGAAAUCCGUGUUGAUGCCAACAGAGGUUGGACAUUUUCUGAAGCAGCAGAGUUUGCUAAUUUGGUGAAAAACUGCAACCUACAGUAUAUUGAGGUAUUACUCUGUGGAAAUCAUAUUGAGAUCUGAUUAUCUAUUUUUGCUCCUAGAUCUUUACUUUCAAGAAAUGGAUUAUGAUGAAUUUUAAAUUCGGUACCCUUCUGUUGUUUUUUUAUUCUUUUAUUUUCUUUACUGUUUUUUAUGUUAGACUUUCUUCAAUUUCAUAAAUUGCUCAUUAAGACCUAGCUCUGCCAAUUUUUCUAUCCCUCUUUGUGCAUGUCUUGCAUUUGACUUUAUUGAAGUUCUCCAUUUUUUCUAUGUGAAAGGUUUCAUGAUAUUUUAUCUUGAAUGUUUUUUAGUUGUAAGUUAACUGUCUUCUGCAAUUUCUAAUAUUCAGGAACCUGUUAAGGAUGAAGAUGAUAUUGUCAAAUUUUGUGAAGAAACUAACUUACCUGUGGCUCUUGAUGAGACUGUGAACAAUACAAGAGCAAAUCCCCUGGAGGUCAUAAACAAUUACACGCACUCUGGAAUUGUUGCGGUGGUAAGUAUCCAUGCUUCCUUGAUACUAACUUUCUCAGGGUUUAGUUAUGUGAUAAAAAAUUUUACAUCAUGGAUUCUUGUGCCAAACAAGAACGGUAUUCUGUAGCUGUAAUUGCUUAGCAAGGUUUGGUGGCCCAUCAAUGUUGCUUUGCUGGUGCAUACAAUUUUGUAUUUUAAUCUGAUCAGUAUAAGUAUAGAAAUCUCUCCACUCUCAUUCAAGGGAAGGUCUAUACAACAUUUUGUUUGUGCUUUGCUACUCCCUAGAACAGUUCUGCAAAAUCUGCUUCUAGCAUUCAUUGGAGAUUAUCAUAGGCAUUAUAAAAUUUCGGGACAAUAAUGAUGAGCAGAAUUUGGCUCUUCCAUUGAUUUUUAUUUCAUAUAUUAUGUUAACAUGGUCAAUUCUCUCAUAUUAGACAGAAUUUUUAUGCUCAAGGGACCUAACUUUGGUUUGCUACAAUUAACCUGUCAGGUUAUUAAACCAAGCAUGCUUGGGGGUUUUGAGAAUGCAGCAUUGGUUGCUCAAUGGGCUCAGAAGCAAGGGAAGAUGGCGAUUGUUAGUGCUACAUUUGAGAGUGGCUUGGGACUGUCAGCCUAUACUCAGUUCUCAAGUUAUCUCAAUCUGCAAAAUGCUGAAAUACGUAGGUUGAUGAAAAAGGAACGAUCACUAUGCUUAGCUCAUGGUCUGGGGACCUACAAAUGGCUUAAAGAAGAUUUGAGUGUAAAGCCUGCAGAGGUCCAUUUCAAUUCAAACAAUGGAUUUGUAGGGGCCUCUGUUGUUGAUACUGCUCAAUUCCUGCAGAGGUUUCAAGUCAACCAAAAUGUCAUUGUUCGAACUUUUGAUGAAGAACAAGUUCGUAACUACCAGCUACCUGUUGAUUUUGAGGGUGUCUCCUAUUCCAUCAAUGUGCUAGAGACGGGAAAAAGAGUUGGAGUAAGUGUAGAAUCUUGUAUAUGUAUUAUAUUUCGUAAUUUUUGUCAUGAGAUACUAGUAUGUAGAUGACACGCACCUUUAAAAGCCAGUCAUACACUAAUAGGAAUUGCAAUGAAGGAAGAGAUGCCAUCAGGGAGGGUUGAUGCGGGAGGGAAGGUGGCUGAUGGAGGAGCCUAUGAACAGUACACUAAUUGCUGAUUAAAAAAACUAUUCACAUACAAAUCAUAAUGUGUAUACAGCCAAUGGAAGGAGCCUUUGGGCAAAAACACAGAGUUUGAAAUAUAGCAAGAGCAUGGACAUCACGAGUCUGAUAAACUUAAAAUAUUAAUUAUACAUGGCAUCUUCAAUUUUUUACUAGAAAGAAUUUUGCACUAUUCAUGAGUUUCAUUGAUCAUCCAUUUCUACCUGUUGUACUCUGAAAUCCCCCAUGCUAAUCUUUCUCUGUUCCAGGAGAAGAGAGAAAACUUUAUUGAUAUAAAGAGUACUGCCGCAAACUAGAAAACUAUGAGAAUCAAUUACCCAUUCCUCUGCACGUUGUCAAUAAGAUACUUGUCAAAAUUAACGUACUUUGAACCAAAUAGGAAUGUGAAUUUAGCGUUGAGGCGUACUAUUAUUCAUCUAUUACCUGGAGAGCCUAAUUUUCACCGCAAUAUUGCAAUCCUUUUUCCUUGUUCCUUUUCCAAACUGCAGGACUAUGUAUUCGUCUUUCUUCAUGGCUUUCUUGGAAGGGGUGAAGAUUGGAUACCCAUCAUGAAAGCCUUCUCAAGAUCAGUAAGAUGCAUAGCAAUUGACCUUCCAGGUCAUGCCAGAUCUGACGUGAAAUAUCAGGCUGAUAAUGGUUCCAUGAAGCGGCACAGUUUGUCAGUUGAUGCUAUUGCUGGAAUGUUAUGCAAGUUUAUUACUAAUGUGACCUCUGAAAAGGUUAUUCUUGUUGGGUACUCAAUGGGAGCAAGGAUCGCCUUACACAUGGCUUUAAAAUAUGAUGAUAAGGUAUAUAAGAAGAUGUGCUACUGAUCUGAAUUAAAUUCAUUUUCGACAUGAAUCAUUUUUUGAAAUAUGAUCUGUCUUGGAAGAUUGAUGGAGCUGUUAUAAUCUCCGGAAGCCCUGGAUUGACAGAUCCUGGGGCAAGGAAGUUCCGUCGAGCAAAAGAUGAUUUCAGAGCCAGCUCCCUUGUUUCUCACGGCCUAGAGCACUUUUUAGGUGCCUGGUAUGUUGAGGAGAUAUGGAAUAGGUAAUUGAUCCUUCCUUUAUAACCCUCUUUGGCUUGGACUUUAUUUAAUUAUCCUUUAAACAUUCCUAGAGCAGUCACCUUAGUAACAGAUUACCAACCAUGCAGCUUAAGGAGCCAUCCACAUUUCAGUGAAAUAGUCACUGAUCGCUUGCAGCAUGAUGAUUUGCACACCUUGCUAAAGUACUGUCUGAUUCAAGUAUUGGGAGACAACAGUAAGUCUGGAUAUUCUUCUCUUCAUACAUUUUAAGUCCCUUACAUCUCCUUUUGCAGUUUGACUAUGGCUUCAAAGAUAAUUAUUGAAUUAGGUAAUCAUUUCAAACUUUAUGAUGACCUCAGAUGAAGGGCAUAAUACUAGUCCAAUUACUUCAACAGAUAUUUCCUACUGACAACAUACUAGUUAAUUUGAGUUAAAACAAAUUCUGUUUGUUCAUCUUUAAGGAACCCAAGGUUCUGAGGUGUUUCUGGGGGCAUAGUCCUUGUUUGGCAGAGUUUCUCUUUAUAUCAGCAUAUUAUUCCCCAUUCCCUGCUCUUUAUGCUUAUCCUUUUACCCUUAUGUUGGGUAGGAAAUCAUGAGAAGAACUUAGAGGCCUAGCUCAAUGCAACAUGAAGGGAAAAUAAGGUAGACCAUAGACAUAAAAAAAAAAAAAAUUCCUUCAUCAGAAAUCAUUUACCAACUUGGUAAUGAGAACUAAGAUCAUAAACCUGGAGCUUUGCUUCUUUAAUCAACAAAUACUACCUUAGACUCUGCUAUGAUCAGUUGGCAUGCGUCUCCUGUAUAUUUCUUCAAUUUCAUCCGGAGCCUAAUUCUUGUGUCUCCUUCGGGUCAAUUGCUAUCUUAUCCCUUGGUAUUUAUGAUAGACCAUUGUGGGAAGACCUGAAGCAGUGCAACCUACCACUUCUACUCAUUGUUGGAGAGGAUGAUGCAAGUUUAAACAAAUUGCCAAAAGGAUGCUCCAUAAAAUCAGCCAUAGCACCAGGAUGAAGGCUACUCCAGCAAUAGUCGAAGUUCCAAAAUCUGGCCACGCUGCACAUCUUGAGAAUCCUCUUCAUGUAAUAUAUUCUUUAAGGCAGUUCUUGAACAGAGUCAAAACCUUGAGUUCACUUCAAACGCAAAAUGCAGUGGUAGAUAGUCAUCGUGACAUUCCCCGUCAGGUUUCAAAGACAAUGUAAAAACACGAUAACUUGGUUCAAUUCUUGGCUUCAUCUUCCGAAACCCCAUCUACACAAGUCUGUGGUCAAUGUAGAUCCUACAAGUCAUGGAAUGCAAGAUUACUCUCUGCAGAUGUUCAACGCUCUCAAAUGUAUGUAGUGAAAUCCCCGGUGUAACAUAAUAAUUGCUGCCCCAUAGUCUGCUUCUGUUUCAUUACCUGAAAUACAAUAUUCAGCUCGCAGCCAGUCUUGCUCUCCUCAGAAUUUCCCAAUGAUCCCUCUGUUUGUUUGCUUGGUACUCUUCAGUAAUUAUAUCCCGAGGGAGACACCUAAAGACAGUAUAUUUGGUAAUAAUUUACCUGGAACGUACUCCAUUCUGCUUUACUCUUACUUUUUGUUCUGCUCCUACACCUUCAAAUACUUGCUGAUAAAAUCCCAAGGACUUCAGAUCAUUGAGUUCUUCUGCAUAGAAAAUGAUGUCUGAAUAGGCCAUCUGCCUUGAAAAGUACCGAGUUGCAUUUGAAUACUGAAUAAAGAAAAGCACAAAGAUGAAGAUUUAUGGGUCCCUGUACAACCCCAGCUAGCUGAUUCCUUGUGCAACCACCAUUAACUCUUACUACCAUUUCAAUGGUGCUAUUUCAAUGAAACUCUUUGGUUUUUGCGUGAAAAUUGUAUCAAGUCGUUCUACUUCCAUCUCUUGUUUCUUUCAUCUUUUGCUGCCAUCUUUUGUGCGAGUGAGAUGAGGCACAAGUUUGAGGAGCUGUCAAACCUCAUUAAAGGUCGACAGAGCAGAGCAAGAAUUACAUCAUAAUAGCUUCUAUAGAACUUGAACUAGCUGCCCAACUGUGGCUGCAUAAUCCUAUAUAGCACGUCUAGCUCAAAAAGCUGAACAAAUGUGAGUUAAUUUGCUACUAAUCCAAAGCCUAAUUGUUGUCUAGUUUUGCUUAAAAAUCUCCAUCAUCGAGACUUGUUUUUCUUUCCACAAUGGUUGCGUGGAAGGACAUGAACCUUAUUUAUGAUUUGACAUGAUUUAUGGGAUUGGACCACUCUAAUUAACAUGGACAUUACUUUAUAAUACACGCGCACUAACCCGUUGGAAUUUUACUCCUCCUAACGUAAUUAUGUGAUUAUCUUGCCCAUUCUUAACUCUAGAUCCAUUACAAACUUAUAAAACCAGGAGUGUUUUGUACGAGACCUAAGCAUAAUAAAAGUGAAGUGGAGGCUACUAAACGCAAUAGGAAAAGAAAAAAAUCAAAGUAAAACUUGUGUUUGGUAAGAAAGAAUAUCCCAGAUUUCACUGUCAGAAAGGCCACUUUUCAACAUACAGCCACUUAAUUAAUGUCACAAAUCCAGUUGGUAGAUUAAACUCAUAGUAGUAUUAGCUGACUUUUGACUAAUCUCUAUAUUAUGGGGAAAUAAAGAAGUCUUGAAACCAUCAUUUUGAUUGGGCAAAGUUGUCGAAUCUAUUCAACGUUAUUAAUUAAAUCCAUCAGUUUGAUUACGCAAAGUACAUUCACAGUUUGUCCAAUCUACACCUGGCCUCCUGUACGCAAUUUUUAUUAAUCAUCUAUUAAUUUCCCAAAAAAAAAUGUAAUCAUCUAAUUAGUCAACAAGAUUGAAUGGAGACUUUUAAGGGGUGUUUGUGUGUGUUUUUGGUUUGUCUUUUCUAAUGUUGCAUUGCGGAUGUUAUUAGGCUUAUAUUUGUUCUCAAUUCUUUCGACUGUGGUUCUUUCUAGGCAUGAUCAAUGUCACUCAACAGGAUGAUUGGUUCCUCUUGCCCAAAAUCAGAACAAGGAUGGCUGAUUUCUUGAUGUAAAAUAUAUUAAAGAAAAGUUAUACAUGUAUUUUUGGCAUUUUUCAUGCUCCCAAACCUCCUUGAGUCAUACAUGUAUCCUCAUCCUCUAACAUGAUGAUAAUUAACUAAAACCGCAGCUGAUUAAGACGCCAUGGAAACUUAAUUGUAAGUGGGCAUUCAAACUCUUAUUUCACUUUUUUGUUUGCUUGAAGAUCCAUGCAUGGUCAAAUUCUAUGUUUGCUUCUAAAGCAACAACCAUUCAUAUUCAUAUGCUGCUUAUUACCCCAAAAAAAAAAAUUUUUUUGAUGAAAGUUAAUCGUUAAAAUUGUUUUUUCUUUCCCUAUUUUGGGAGGGUUGGACAAUGAUUUGCAAAUUUGGACCAAGAAGUAAAGAUUUUGCUUUUCUAGCUUUCUGUAGGCUUGACUGGACUGAUCAGACUGAUCCAGGUCAAAAAUGGAGAAACGUUUAGAGCAGCAUGUUGCAUCCUAUUAAGCUUCAGGAAUUUUAGUUGAUUAUGGCCCUUCACGUAUUUCCUUUAACGACACUUCCCGAACUAUUUCGUUCUUUAAAUCCAGAUCAAUUAAUGCAGUUUGUUUUCGAGCAAUCAUGGGAAUCGAGCUCGAAUUUAUAGAUUGUAUAAAACUAAUCUUGAAUCCAUAUAUACGCAGUAAAUAUCAAGAAACCAAAAGGUUACCUAGUUGCUCGUGUAACCAGAAAUCUAGGGGCAAAUGAACAGGAAUUAUUAAUAAGUUAAGGUUGUUCUGUUACUAUGAAUAAAAUAAGUUAAACUUAAAUAAAUCGGAUGCAGAAAAAUAAGAUUCAGAUAAAAAAAUAAUCUUUAAUUAAUAGAUGGUUGAUUGUCAACUUGAAGAAGAGGGAUGGAGGGGCGGCUCAAGCCUUCAUUUCAUGCCGUUUCCUUCAAAGUAAUCAUCUAUUUAUGAACCUAUUGCCGCCAUUUCAAACCAUAACAGAAUCUACCAAACUUGUUCAGCAUCUGAAGGCUGCUGUCAGGGUGGGAACUUGAGAGAUGGACCAAAACAUGAACAUGAUCGUUACCAGAAGAAUGGCCUCUGUAGCCAACCAUCUCAUGCCUGGUCACCAAAUUAGUCCUAGCCACCCUGCCUUGUUUGGUGCUAUAGCUCCGUCUAAUUGCAGUUCUCACUGGAUGACAGCUACCGCAGGACUCACGGUGAAGUCCCUAGCCAUCCACCAGUUUGGAAAACUGUGUCCUUGGAUGAAUCUGUCAAGGAGUUUGCGGAUAUUAUAUACGAAAAAGCUGUUGGAGAGGGUAUUGCUAAGGUUAGUAGCGGAACUUUCACUUAAUUUUUCACGUAUUGCAGCCAGGUAGAAAUAUCCUGGCUGCACAUAUGCUCGAAGGAGCUAGAAAUAUGCUCAACAUCCCUGUUAUUAAUCUUUUGAGACAAUGAUAACUCCAUAUGAAAUUGCUAACAAAAUUUAUCGUAUUGGCACAAAGAAUUGUUUUUCGAGAAUGGAUGAUAUGAGAUAAAAUUUUCUUUCAUGCCAAGUGCAAAUAUUUCUCGUCAUCAGUUACUGUGGAGUAUAAUUUGCAGUUUAAUUUCUCUGAGGGAGCUACACUUGGGAUCUGUUUUGAUUCUUUCUUUUCUCUUGUCUUUCUGCAUAGAUAACAAUCAACCGACCAGAGAGAAGAAAUGCUUUCAGACCUCAGACGGUCAAGGAACUCAUGCGGGCAUUUAAUGAUGCUAGGGAUGAUAUUUCUGUAGGAGUGAUCAUCUUCACUGGGAAGGUGAUACUACUCUCAUGAACAACAUAUUUUGCAUGAAUUUAUCUGCGAUUUUCAUAAAAACGUGGUAGAGAUAUUUAUUCAGGCCUACCUAUUAAUUUGACAUGCGAAACGGGCUACCUUGAUCAUAUUCUGUUGUAGGGCACUGAGGCAUUUUGCAGUGGUGGUGAUCAAUCCUUUAGAGGAAAAAUGGCUAUGCAGAUUAUGACAAUUUUGGUCGGCUCAAUGUUUUGGAUUUACAGGUAAAUAUUUGAAAAGAUGGUAUAGCUCUGCAUUUUCAAUUUGUUACUUGACCAUUUGGCAUUGACUAGGUAAUCCCAGUUAUACGACAUAAUCUGAAAAGAACUUGUGAGAAAGGCACUGCCCUGUUAGACUGCAGUAUGCAACUUACCAGUAAUUUCUCUGCCUGACUGCAACAAUUUUUUUUUAUACAGGUCCAGAUUAGACGUCUGCCAAAACCAGUGAUUGCAAUGGUAAGCUUUGCAAAACAAUUUCUCCAAAUUUCAACAGCACUGCAAAAUUCAUAGUUUCAUAGCUCUUUUCUUGAAUAUUUAUGGUUCUCUUCUAAAAACAGGUUGCUGGUUAUGCUGUUGGGGGAGGACACGUGCUGCAUAUGGUCUGUGAUCUAACAAUUGCAGCCAAUAAUGCUGUUUUUGGUCAGACGGGUCCAAAGGUGCCUUUUCAUGUUCCAUCUUUGUGACCUGUACAUUGAACUGUUGAAGCUCAUUACUUCUUGUCUAUGCAAGUUCUUCCUUUCAGGUUUUAUCUCCUUCAAGUUAGUAGGGAUCAUUUAAUUCUUGAAUACAAAUUGCAGGUUGGAAGCUUUGACGCUGGUUAUGGAGCCUCCAUAAUGUCUCGCUUGGUAAAUUUUUCAAGCUCAAUGCAUCUCUUUAUCCGUAGAAACCUACAAAGUUUUCGAGUUAAAAAAUCGCUUGCGGGAAAAUCUAGCCAAAGAUUUGCAUGAUUUUGCUAGCAACAUCUAACUAAUACAUACACUAAUUAACUUAAAUUGUACGCUAUACAUUAGAUUGGCCCAAAACGAGCGCGUGAAAUGUGGUAUCUGUCAAAGUUCUACACAGCUUCAGAAGCAGAGAAAAUGGGGCUUGUAAACAUGGUCGUCCCAGUAAGUUCCUUUUCAGCCCAUCAACUUUUUCAUCCUUUAGAUUUCCAUUCAUACUCAGAUGGCCAUCCUAUUUCUGGCUUCUAUAUCCCUGAACUAUUUGAAUCACAUUUUCUAGCUGGAGAAGUUGGAACAAGAAACAGUCAAAUGGUGCAGAGAGAUGCUAAGAAACAGUCCAACUGCUAUUCGGUUAUGCAAAUCAGCCAUCAAUGCAGCUGAUGAUGGCCAUGCUGGACUUCAGGUAUUCACAGCUCAGGCAAUUCUUGCAACCAAAAGCCAAAUUUCCAUUAAAUCCUAUAACACACUCUAACAACAGUGCUUCAUACAUUUUGGACAUUGACUAUCUGCUUCAUAUUUGUCAUUCAGGCACUUGCAGGAGAUGCAACACUCAUGUUUUAUGGAACUGAGGAAGGCAAUGAGGGGAGGUCGUCAUAUUUGCAGCACAAAAAACCGGAUUUCUCGAAAUUUCCUAGGCUUCCUUGAUGUUGUGCACCUCUAGCACAGUUCUUUUUUACUGUGAUUUACGGCAUUUUGAUUUGUCUGCCUUGUUACAAGGUUCACAUUUUCGUAUUUCAAACUGUUCAACGUGCAUGUUAUCACUCCGUCUGCUGGCUGCAGAAAUUUAGUGGCUUUCCAUGUUCUCAUGGACAGAAUAAAAAUCAUUUUGUAGUUGAGAGUAAAAUAAAGCUGAUGUUCCUACUCGUAUUGAAAUGUGAAGGAAUGGACAGUCCAUGUGAUAUAUACUUCCAACUUUCAAUGACUAUAAUACUGUUGGGAUAUGCAACUUUUCCUACAUAUUUUGCUAGAUUAUGUUUAAUAUCAAAAUAAUUUAGUUAUUAGAAAAAUAAGGAUAUUUGUUAACCAAAGAUCAUGUUGGUUUGUUAACAGAUAUUUUAGAUAAGAUUUGCUAGUAGAAGGAGAUUAUAUUUUGUUGAGAUUUUUAGGAUAAUUGUUAGUUGGAUAUUUGCUAGUUUGUUUCAUGUAAUCACUAUAAAUAGUGAGUUAAUGAAUGUAGAACAUAAGCUCAUUUUCCACCUUCAAUACAAGUCUCUUAUAAGCUUUUUUUGCAACACUAAGGUGUUGUUUCUUAGUUCAUGCCCCAAAAACCAACAAAGUGGUAUCAAGAGCCUAUAUCUCAAGAGUCUGAGUUUUGUUUUUUAGAGUGAGUGCAUUGGUGAGGAUCCUUUAUAAGUUCAAAGCCAUGACAGGAAAGAACUUUUUGUCAAAUAUUUCAACUUUUAGUGGUGAAACUUACCAAAUUUGGGCCAUAAAAUUUUGGACUUAUUUGGUAGUCAAUGAUCUACGGGAUAUGGUGAAGACGAAUUUUGUUUCAUCAGCAUUUGAAGAGCUGAUGGAUACACAAAUUAGAGACCACAGAGUUGCAGUUAGACAGAGAUCCAAGGCCAGCAUUCACAUAUCAGUUUUUGAUGCCGUUUUCACAAAGAAAAUGGCUGAUGAUUUGAUGAGAAUAAAUUAUUCUCAAUUAAAAUAGAAAGGAGAAGUUUCACUAUGAAUUGGUCAGAUUUUGACAAUUCUAAAGUGGAACAUGAUGAUGAAAUCAAGAAUUCAGAUCCUGAAAAAAUUCAGGAGGAGAUCAUUGAUAAGUCAGGAGAUAUCAGAUUGAUUCCUGAUAUUUAUCAAGAUUAUAACAUUUCUGUUUUUGGGUCUACAGAUUUUGAUGGUGAUGACAAAAUGAAGAAUCAUGCAAAAUUUCAUAUUUCUAUAUAAGUUCAAACAUCGUCAAAAGAUGUUCCAUUUUAAACCUAUGAGAAGGUUAUUUGGAAAUAUUAAAAAAAAAAUCAUCUUUUAUGUGGAGUUGGCAUGAGAAGACAAAAGAAGUGGUUCGUUGCAAGACUAAUAUUUAGCUUGCAUAAAAACCCAAAGGAAGAAGUUCAUUGCAAGGCUAAUCAUCAAUUGCAGAAUUUCUUACAACAGUCUCGUCCAAAACAAGAUUCAAAGAUUUGAGAAAACAAUUGAAAAUCUGCAGCAAAAGUGACAAGGAGGAGUGUUGGGAUAUGCAACUUUUCCUACAUAUUUUGCUAGAUUAUGUUUAAUAUCAAAAUAAUUUAGUUAUUAGAAAAAUAAGGAUAUUUGUUAACCAAAGAUCAUGUUGUUUGUUAACAGAUAUUUUAGAUAAGAUUUGCUAGUAGAAGGAGAUUAUAUUUUGUUGAGAUUUUAGGAUAAUUGUUAGUUGGAUAUUUUGCUAGUUUGUUUCAUGUAAUCACUAUAAAUAGUGAGUUAAUGAAUGUAGAACAUAAGCUCAUUUUCCACCUUCAAUACAAGUCUCUUAUAAGUUUUUUUUUGCAACACUAAGGUGUGUUUCUUAGUUCAUGCCCCAAAAAACCAACAAAUACACAGGACUGGAAUAAGCAAACUGGCAUGCAGGAUAAUUAGAGUCCUAAUAAAAGAAAGAGCAUAUUAACAUUUUCACCAAAAUUAAAAAAAAAAAAAAAAAAAAAAAAAAAAAGACAUAGACUCCUCUCCUUGCAAUGUCUCCAUCUGGGCUUUUAGUAACAUCAACCUCCUAAAGCACACACAAACUCCAGGGUUAGGCUUUUGAUAAAGCAUACACAGCUCAUUUACAUUCACUGCAGGCUGUUAAUUAGCACGGUAUCUGCUUUACCCCUAUUAUUUUCCUCAUUAACUUGAAAGUUUCAAAAAAUGUCUUUUAUAAAUUCUAAUCUUUGUCCCCGCAAAAACUUCAACUUUUACGUUGACUUCAAAUUUAUACAAGAAAUCUAAAUCAUCGACAGACAGGUGGUAGGCUAUAUUGCUUAUACUUUUUUUUUUUCAAGUCGUUCGGGUAUUGCUUAUGCUUCUCAGGAAGUAAAUACGUACGUAUGUAAUAUUGAUGAGUUGUUUGGUUAGGAGAAAACUACAUAUAUUUGCCCAAGUAACCAAAUCUUCGUCUAGGGUAUUUAUAUAUGAUUAGUUGACGGAAUCUUAAAAAAAAAAAAAAAAACCACGCAUUAGCAGGUGUAAUGAUAAUCUAGAGGUGCUGGAGGGAGGUCGUUUGCGCCUGAUGCAUCUUCUCCAAAAAGAAAUACUUGCUUACUUUUCUCAGUUGAAACUCUGUUUUCUCAUCAUAUAACCCAACUCGGACAUCAGAAAGACACCAUUCGCUGUUGGACCAAGAAAUCUAACGAACCCUCAGUUUGCUGCAUACAUUAUUAAAAUGAUAACUUUGGAAAUUUUGUAACUUUUGUCAUUUUUCUUACUUUGUCAUUUCACUUUUGAUUUAGGUUUUGUUGUCUGUACUCUGUACUUUUCGAUCAAAAUUUUCUACUCUUAGAAAGUCUGUUCAUCACUCUGAAAUAUCUUGAACAAACGUUAUAUAUUGAGCAUUUAGCUUGAGAUUAUAAAUUGAUGAACAGCCUGAUAAGUUGAUGGGUUGAAGUACAAUGAUAUGAACUGGUUUUGCACAACAUAUUUUACUUUCUUUGAAAAUUAUUACGGUGUAUCAUCUAGCUAAUUGAUUUGCAUUGGGAAAACAUGGCCAUCUGCAGAUCCACCCAUUGUAGAAUUUUUGAUAAAUUCAUUUUCUCUGUCUUUAUCUUAAUAAAAGACUUAAAAACUUGAUUACUUGUUCUGAAGAAUCUCUUUCUUUUCUUUUCUUUUGUCUUUUUUGGUUUGCGUGGGGGUAUAUUUGAUCCAUCCAAAAGCUGUCUCGAUCGAUUGAAAGCUACGGGUUUAAACAAUAUAACCUGAGCAGCUAAUCGUACUACUUCUUGGACAAAAUAAAUUAUAGCAUUCAUCGGCCUUAUUAUUAUUUUUUUUAUGAAUGCUUAAUUGUUUAAUGGUGUUUUUUAUGAUCAACGAUCUAACAUUCAACUUUGUUUCCCUCUCUUUCUGCUGAAACCAUCAAGAAACCUGCCAAAAACAUACACCUUGUUCGGCCAAAUGUUCAUUGAAAGGUGUUAGAGAAAAACCCUAAAUACUAGCAUAGUUUUCUAGCUUUUAUGACUAACAAAUGGGAUUUACGAAUGAGUAUAAGAUCAUGGAUGGGACCAAUACCAGUAGCCAUGAUCAAGAGAGCAACCACGAAGAUUAGUUGAAAGCAAGAGCCUUUUUUUCAUCAUUUUCAUCUUUUUAGUUUGUACGAUAGUGGAAGCAGGUACAGCUAGUUAAUAUCUUUCACUUGGAGUGGUGAAGACACUAAACAUGUCCUGAUAUUUACAUACAUGGAGACGAGACGGUGUGCUAUUUAUUACUCGUUAAUGAAUUAUUGACUCUAGUAACGUCUUGGAGUACUUGACAAAGGAAAGUGGUAAAAUUAUGUAGAGGUACAUAUAUCUGCCUAAGAAUAUCUCUAGGAUGGUUCCAACUUGUAAUUAGUGUGGAUUUAUGGACGCAAUGGCUCGAUUUACUAAUUGACUGCUUUAAACUUGGCAGGCAAUUCUAAGUUAGGAUUCUCGGCAGAUACUGAAAAAUUUCAAUGACAAUCCCACUUAAUUAUCACCUGAAAGUAAAAGAAACUUGAGUUAAAUCAAAUCAAUUUGAAUUAUUAAAAAAUUAAAGAGCACGUGAUAACUUAAAUAAAUAGAACGCUUAACAUAAAUAUAAAAGUGACACUGAGUUACUUUUGCUACUAAGAGUGGUUCCCAUGUCUUGACACCUAAUGGUUGCAUUGAAUCUUACUUGUGCACAUAUUUACUUCUAUUCAUCAAGAACCAAAAAAAAAAAAAAAAAAAAAAAAAAAGGCAAAAAUUCCUUUCUGACUAUUAUUAUCAUAAGGCAUCUUCUAGAUAAAAGUUUCUCAACAAUGUCGUCUUCUCAUGGCGAUGAAUUUUUAGUUUCCUUUGUACCCGCUUGAAGUUUUAGUUCCCACGCCUUGGCAAAAUCCAUUUACACAUUUGAUAUUUUCUGGACAGUGUAUAUGUUUUCCAAGACAAUCUCUGUCAGAUUUACACUUAAAUUUUUUCCUCCGCCUUCGAGUCUGCACGUACCAUCAAGAAACCCGCAGCCAAAACAAUUACUAUAAAGUUUUUGUUGAAAGGUGUCGAACAGAAAAAACCUUCUUGAUAUGCAAUUUUCAGGCAUUUUAUAAUUUGCUGAUAGGAUCUAGGAAAUAAUUAAGUACAAGCCUAAAUAUAAUUAAAAAAAGUACAAGCCAAUGCAAAAUAUAUAAGAUCAGGAAUUAGAGCAUUAGUAGUAGGCAUGAUCAAGAGAGCAAGCACGAAAUUCAAUUGAAACCAUGAAGCCUUUUUCCAUCGUUUUCAGCUAAAUUAGGCAAUUAGAAUCACAGUACAAGUUUUACGGUUUGCUGCUUGAGUGAUCACAUUAAGCAUUUCCUGUGACUUAUAUAGAGAUAAGAGAAUUCGAUUUGGUUAUGAAUGUUAACUUCACAUCAGAGCAUCAACUUAGGAAUUCAAAAGACUGAUUAAAAAAGUGUCAAAAGACUUCAAAUCAGGAAUUCAAUCGACGUCUUCAUUCACUCGAUCAAAACAGUCCUUUGAGAGGUUCCCAUCCGAGAUUUUUCCCGAAUUGGCAACCAAGAAGUGUAGCAGAGACAGAAUUUGCGUGUCCCACAUGCUACUGGUAAACAGUCAGCAUUAACUUCACAUCUUGGAAGAUGAGAGGUUUUCCUUCUGCUCUAAUCACCUCAUUUGAUAGUCUUGCCCAUUAUAUUAAGUUUAUGCACUACAAGUCUACAACAAUUACAUAAUAUUACACAUCUCCAGUAAUCAGAAAGCUUUUGAAGAAAACACGAUCAUCGUUCCACGUUUUGGGUAAAGAUUCUGUGAGACAAAGCUACAAUUAGAGUUACCGGCACAAAACCUUCUGCCUUAUUAAACGUGGAUUGUGAAUGUUCAUCGCCCAUUCCUUUAUGGGUUUUUCUAAUUAACACGUUUAUAUUCCACCCAAUUUACUAUGUAUACACACAUUAAUAAUUAUUACUUUCUCUUGUAUUUAUACACUUUUUCCUAAUUAAAUCCAAUGCAUUUGCACGAUGUCCCUAAUUAACUUUAUAUUUCUAAAAGUCUGACAUCUAAAAUUAGGCAUGUCAAUGGGUUGGGUCUUAUCCAGAUCCAACCCAGACCCAAUAUAUUUGAGUAGGGUUUGGAUUUAAUUUCUCAAAUUCAGACCCUACUUAAACCCAGACCCUGUGAGAGAGUCGUGGAUCUAGAUACGAUUUAAUUUUCUAGAAUUCAUAUCCAAAUCCAUAUCCAUACCAGAUCUAACCCAAACCCAUAUUUAUUUAAUUAAAUAAUAUAUUUAUUAGUAAAUUUAUAAAAUAAUAUAAUAAUUUAUGGCUAUUGGAUCGAAUACAGUAAGAUUUUAUAGCAUUAGAAUCUGCAUUUAGUAUUGAUGGUUGGGUGAUUGAUGAGACUCGUGCCAAAUUGCUUCAAAAUAUGGUUGAAACAUUAGUGAUUAUUGAUGAUUGGAUUGAUAAAAAAAAAUGAAUAACUGUUUAUAAAUUUUCUUAUUCUAUUAUUUAUUUGCCAUCGGUCCUUAGUCAAAUGACUUUUAUCUCAUUCACUAUUUUAGUGUUGGAUUGCGAGACAUCUACCAACACUGAAGUUUAAAUAAGAAAAAGAGAUACAAAAUUAUAUUUUUUUAAUAAGACUAAAUAUUUAUAUAUGUUAUAGUUGUUUUCUUUUUCUAAAAACUAGUCCUAGUUAUCAUUGUAAUUGAUACAAACUUUUUUAAGAAAAGGUGAAAAAGUAAAGACAUAUAAAUGAAAUAUUGGAUGCGGAUGCAGUUGAAUCUUUAAAAUUUUAUAAAAGUAGUCAAUAAUAAUUCUUUCUUGGAAUUCACAAUAUUGCAUUCAGCUUGUUGAAUGUUAAUUUUAUUAUUUGAAAACAAAAAUUGGAUGGUAUUUAUAUUAUUUAUGAACUCUAUAUAUUUUAAAUAUAUUUUUACUUUAGUAUGUUCAGAAAAUACCCAUGGAUACCCAGAUCCAUAAAGAUUUGGAUAUGGACUUAGGGGGUGCUUGGUUGGAGGGUAUAGGAAUCAAGAAUUGGAUUGAAUCCCAAAAUUGUUGCUUGGCUAAUGGGUAUAGGUUUUGAAAUCUUGGAAUGAUUCAUGAAAAAUCAGUCACUCUCCAUACCCAAGUAGAUUGGAGGGUUUUGAUGAAUCCCACAUUUGAUUCCAAAAUCUUUAAAAAAAAAAUUAUUUUUGGGAUUUUUUAAAAAUAUAUAUUGGCUCUGUUUCUAUAUAUUAAUAUUUUUUAUUUAUAUAUAUAAUAUUUUUUAUUUCAAUUUUGUUUUAUAAUAUGUAUAUUAAUAUAUAUUUAAUAUAUAUAUAAAUAUAUAUAUAUAUUAAUAUACAUAUUAUAAAAAUUGAAAUAUAUAUUUAUAAAUAUUUAUACUUAUAUAUGAAUAUAUAUAUAUAUUUAUUUCAAUUGAUAUAAUAUAUCUAAUAUACAUAUUAAUAUUAAUAUAAUUUAUAUAUAUAAUAAAAUAUAAAUAUUAAUUGAAAUAUACAUAUUAUAAAACAAAAUUGAAAUAAAUAUAUUAUAUAUUUAUAAAAAUAUAUAUAAAUAAAUUUAUAAAGAUAUAUAAAUAUAUUUUAAACAAAAAUAUUUAUAUAUAAAUAUAUAUUAUUUAUUUCAUUUGAUAUAAUAUAAUAAUAUACAUAAUUGAAAUAUACAUAUUAAUAUUACUAUAAUUUAUAUAUAUAAUAUACAUAAUUGAAAUAUACAUAUUAAUAUAUAUUAAUAUACAUAUUAUAAAACAAAAUUGAAAUAAAUAUAUUUAUAAAUUUAUAUAAAUAUAUAAAUAAAUAUAUUUAUAUAUUUAUAUAAAUAUAAAUAUAAAUAAAUGUACAAAUAUAAAUAUAAAUAAAUUAAUAAAUAUAUAUAAAUAUAUUUUAAACAAAAAUAUUUAUAUAUAAAUAUAUAUUAUUUAUUUCAAUUGAUAUAAUAUAUAUAAUAUACAUAAUUGAAAUAUACAUAUUAAUAUUACUAUAAUUUAUAUAUAUAAUAUACAUAAUUGAAAUAUACAUAUUAAUAUUACUAUAAUUUAUAUAUAUAAUACAUAAUUGAAAUAUACAAAUUAAUAUAUAUUAAUAUACAUAUUAUAAAACAAAAUUGAAAUAAAUAUAUUUAUAAAUUUAUAAAAUAUAUAAAUAAAUAUAUUUAUAUAUUUAUAUAAAUAUAAAUAUAAAUAUUUAUAAAUAUAUUUUAAACAGAAAAUUAAUAUUUAUAUAUGAAUAUAUAUAUGGUGGAUGGGUACGUGGGAUAAGCAUUUGAACGAGAAAGAAGAAAGAUAUGAAAAGAAAAAAGAAAUUAAAGGUAAAAAAUUGAUUAUUAAAUUUGAUACCCAUUCCUUACCAAUAUUUACCAAGCACCCCCAUUUGUAAUCAUACCUUUGUCCAAAACCCAUACUAAUUUUUUUGUAAAUGAUUCCAAUUACAAUUCCGAUUCCUAAACAUGAACCAAGCGGCCCCUUAAUUUUUCAGACCCACAAGGGUUUGGAUCUGAAUUUGGGUCUAACUAAAUUAAAUGGGUCUGGAUCUGAAUCAAAGGGAUCCAACUCAGACCCUACCACCCAUUGACAUGCCUACCUAAAAUACAUCUUAUGGGCACCCAUUAGACAGUCCAUUCUUUUAUUUUCAUCGAUGAAUUAUCUUCUUCUACGCAGAAAUUUCCGGAUAUACAAAAUUGAGCCUACUAAUAAGUUGUUGAUUUUUAAUUCGCCAUGCUAUGAUGGCCAUUCCAGAUCCUCAAGAACUGCUAGCAGCAUUUCACAAAUUUCAAUUCCUACAACAGACUUCUUGUGCUUUUGCUAAGUCUCAACCUUCUUUUACACAGAUGCAUAUUGGACAAUUGUUUCAAUAAUACUCUUUUUAACACUUUAUCCUCUCUUGCAAUAAUCAUUAUAAAGGUACCAGUUUGAAUUCAGGUAACAUAUCCUUCUCCAAAACAAGAAAAUUUUGAGAUUACCAACAGAAAAACUGGUUGUCUUGCGCGCAUGAAGUGGCAGAGAGCUGCUGAAAAGGUUCUCAUUUUAGGUAUCAUCCAUGACAAACGUAUACAGUUUUGACGGAAAAAUGGGAAUGGAGAUGAGGAGAUUAUGUCUUUAUUGAUUAAUUGUUUACAAGCCAAAGAAAGUUAACAAUAUGGAUCAAGCAUCCAUUAGAAUUUAAGGUGCUUCACAUUGAACUGGAUAGAAACUAGAACGAACUAAAACUAACUUCAAUGACAAAUCCCAGCAAAAUGUCGCUCUUCUAAGACUGAAGCUCCAUCAACCUUUGCCAGGUGCCACAAACCAACUGGCAAUAGGAGAAGAAACCAUUUAUUUAGCACCAUGCUCGUAUAGUCAGAAUGACGGGUAACAAACGACUAUGUAUUUUGGUGCUUCACGCUCCCUGCAUUCUUUCAGGUAAAGUUAAAGAUGAAAUCAAAGAUUCGUGGAACAUUUUGGUUGAUUAAUUACCAGCAAGUAUAGAUGAUGUGGUCUAAAAGAAUUGCUAAGUUGCAGCAAUGAGUAAUUUGAUCUAUUGAAUCUAUACCUAUAACUUGCAAAAAUGAUUGAUGGUUUUCAUUCAAAGCCACUAGAAAUUUGGCCGGAAGCAUAAAACUGCCAGUGCAAUGUACAUGGCAAAACCAAUUAGAGCAAUAAGAGAACUUUGAAAGCCAUUCUAGAACAUAAUCCACAUCUACCCAUUAGAUCCAGGAGUUUUCAUCAUUUUUUGCUCUACAUUUGCAUCAAACCCACAAAACAGAGAAGAUUAUCUACGACAUUACAAUAUAUCUGGCAUCACCAAGCACAAAUUCUGUGAGAAUGGCCAUGACUAAGGUGAAAGACACAUCUCAAUUAAUCUUGUUUAUAUAAAUAAUGCACAUCUAAGAAGCCAUACAUGCCCAUGUGAGCAACAAGCACAGAGGACGCAAAUCAAGUUGAACGCAAUGGAAUCCAAUACCAGUCUAGUUGCAAGAUUAAGUAAGAUUACAAAUUUCACAGUCUAAAGCAAGAUAUGUUGCAAAGUAGCAUUCAGGUGUGAUCAAACAGCCUCUUUUCUAUCAUUUAUUGUCGACCAAGGCAAGCUUCAUGUCACAUUUCCAAUACUAGUCUAGUUGCAAGAUUAAGUAAGAUUACAAAUUCCACCGUCUAAACCAAGAUCUGUGCAAACUAGCAUUCAGGUGUGAUUAAACGGCCUUUCUCUUUUUUAUCAUUUAUUGCUUCAAAGCCGAUGAAAAUUAACACAUAGAUCCAACACCUCGUUAUUUGAGUAUAGAUUCUCAAUGCCAUGCUAAUUGUCGAAUCAUAAUCAGAUAAUUCAAGAAGCCUAUACACUUCUAUUAAAUGUUAACCUUGUACUUGAUGCAAGCUACCUAUCAAGUUGAAAAAAAAUCAAGUGACUGAAACCAAAAAUAUUUCCUGGAAGAAACUAGUGCAGUCCGACUGCAAUUUUCAGAAUCAAAACCAAGUAAUAAUAAUAAUAACAAGAAGAAAAAGAAAAGAUUAAACCCAAAUUUGGCAAAGCAAUCAGAGAACUUUGAAGGCAAAACAAGAUGAUUAACAAUCAACAUCUGAAAACUAUUCAGACUAUAGAUACAUCUCAUCCCUUUGCUUUGCACAAAUAAAAAACAUGUAGUAAUUUCUUCAUACAAAUAAACUGAGAGCUAGAUUUUUUUUCUUUGGUUGCAGGGAGUUGAACUUAAAAAAGUAUUAAAUCAACCAGAAGAACUCUUCCAAAGAAAAAGCAAAUCUAGCACCAUAAAUACCUUAUCUCGAAUUUUCUUUGCAAUCAAGGACUUGAAACUGCAAAGGGCUGAUUGGUGCACUAAGUUAUAAUCUCUCAUUUAAAAAUGACUAACGAUUAAGCUGGAAAAAUCGAAUCUUGAAGAACCUUUUAACAGAAAAAUUGAAGCUUUCAAAAACUUGCUAGAUUUUCCAAGUGAUUGAGAAGUGGAGCAUCUGAUUUCAUCAGCUGUACAGACUACUUAGACAGAGUGAAGUUGUCACCUGAGCGGAGUUAAUAGCUCAGUGCUAUUUAUAGGCGCUGAAUUAGGUUUAGUUUGCAGGCGCUGAAUUAGGUCUAGUUUUCAUUUUCGAGAAAAGGGAAACGACGUAGUUUACUUCUCUAUCCUUUUUUUUUUUUGCCCUUUUCCUUUUGUAAUUGCAGAUAAGAAGAUUUCCAUUCUUAUUUCAAAAACAAAAAACGACUUUUUUUUUUAAUCAUACAAAAUUACGUAAAAUUAUCUUUUAUAUCUUUGAGAGGAAUAGGGGAAGAAAGGAGUAGGAAGGAGAUUGUAAACAAUAAUAAAAUCACUUCCUUUUCUUUGAAAUUUGAAAAAUAAGAUUUCAAUUCUUUAUUUCAUUGUGGAGGAACAAGAAAAAACCAAUUAUUACGGACCUUUUUCUUUUUCUUUAUUUAAUGCCUUUUAUUAGCCCCCUUCACUUUCUAAUAAAAUUUGGUUGCCACAAUUAACAGUGAGAGAUCCAGCAGGAGCCUAAAGUUAUAUAUGAUCCCAGUUCAUCCCAAGACUUCUUUCAAUCAACCUUCAAAGCAAAGCACACAUGCAUCAUAUCGGAAAUGUCCCAAAUGAUGUGCUUGGAAAGCUUCUGAUAUUCACAGAUACGUGACAGGUGAAGAAAAGCAACCUUUCACACUAAUUCUACAAAUACAAGUGCUAACAGUGUAGUUAAAGACCUCACCUAUUGCAUUUACACAAUCUAAAAACUCAUUCUGAAAAGAAUUGGGGCAAGCAGCAAAAUUACAAUUGCAACAAUGAUGAAUCAAUGAAAUACUACAAGCACUACGGCCAAGAAUUAUGUACAGUCGAGAAAAAGGAAUGUAUUCCAUGCAAAGCAACUGCGAAUUAACCUCGAUGAGGUUGAAAAUGGCUUGUUCCCUGUUCAAGAAAUAUGCUGCUAAAACUGGAAGCAGUACAACUAAAAUUGCCAUGAAGAUGUAUGUUCGGCUGGUCUUCCCUGUGUUUACUACAUUCACAUCUUCCAGUUUCAGAACCAAAUUGCUGCUAUCUUCUGGAGAAAUGGAGGAUUCUAUUUGUGAUGAUCUGCAGAUGCUGUUUAAGUGUUUCCUCCACCUGAUUCAAGGGGUGAAAACAUCAUGAUGAUCACUUGUAACAAAAAUAAAAGCAUCAUGCUCCUGAUAAUUAGGGCAGCGAAAAAGUGAGAAGCCAGUCCAGUGUUUAUGCUUGAGAGUGGAAAUAACACCAGAUAAUAGCUUAGCAUUAUGCAAACUGCAAACUGCAAACUCCCCUGUUAUUGCAGCCUGAUCUUCAUUGAUAUCCUCAUUGAUGCAUUUAUGGUAGGUACUGACUGUUUAUCUGAUUUUAGACUCUUCUAAUAAAGAUUUCGAAAUGGAAAAAAUGCAAACGUAAUGCUGAAACAUAAUUUGAUGGUAAACUUCUACUGAUGGAGGUGUCUCAAAGGCUUAAAUGAUAACAUUUUCUUCUAACUAAUCCACCAACUGCAACAAGCCACUAAAUGAAGCUAUGAAAAGUAUCUUAUCUUCAAAAUGUUGCUGUAUCUAGACCUCUAACUACGACCAUACUUCCAUGUCAUCUGUUUUACAAGUCUUACUUAGUUUGUGAAGAGAAGAAAGAAAGAAAAAAAGAAAAAGAAAACCUGCCUGGACGCUAUAGUCUGCGAAUUCUGCUGCCUUCUCAUGUGAAGCUAGUGUACAUGAUGUAGCAGUUAAGUCAACUCUGAGUGAAGGAAGCUCUUCUUCCUUCUGAUCUGUGUUGCUGCAUGAAGCAAAACACUCGCCUUCUUUGCUUUCCUUAAUUUCUCCUUGAGCAAUUUAUUUUCCUUUGCUAAAUCAUAGAACUGUCACCAAAUCAAUCAUUUCAGCUUUUAUAGGCUAUUAGAGGUUGUGAUCAAGUCACAAUUUAUUAAAAGUGCACAAAAAUUGAUCAUCCUUGGUACUCACUCUUACUGAGAAGGGCAUUAUAGAUAAGAAACAAGUAAAGAAAAACAGAAACAAAGGAAAUGGAAAAGAAGACUCCAAACUAAGCACCUGUUUGUUUAUGCGCUCUCUUUCCAUUGCAAGUUGCAUGACCAUAUCCAUAAUCACAUUGGUCUUGAUAUUUAUGUCUUUUGCACUCGCCAUUUUCUCAACAGUAGCCUGAUCCAGAGUUGUAUCCAAGGACUCCAUUCUAGUCUUCAGAAAUUCAACUUCUUUAUUGAGUUCUAAAUUAGCUUCUGACAGCACCACACAUUGCUCCUCAGCAUUCUCAGUCUUGUUUUCAGCUUUGAAGCUUUUGCUUCAACUCAUCAAUAAGAGUUUCCAUAUCCCAAAUUGCAGUAUACAACAUGUUUUGCUGCUCUUGACUUGCUUCUGAUGAAGCCCUGGAAUGCUGAAGUUGCAGUUCUAGGUCUCUCAACUGCUUCUCGAUUAAGCUCACCUUUUUGCUAUUAGUAUCAUUACUUCCUUUCAGAAAAAUUGAGUUCUUCAGUUAGUUCUGAGUUUGUUUCAGUUAGCUGAGUAACCUUGGCUUCUGCACUCUCAGCUCUAGCCUCAAAUUCAUCAAUGGUUUCUCUCAUGGAUUCAAUGAUACCAUCCAUUUCUGCAAGUUGCACUUGACUUGUCUCAUUUGUUUCCUUUUCUGCCUUCAGCUGAGAUACUGAUUCUCUUAAGUGCUCUUCUAGUAAUUUCACUCUUUCCCUUAGAGAAGCAGCUUCAGCAGUUUCAGCAACAAGCUGUGCCCUUUUCUUACUAAGCUUUUCCAUUGUAUUAUCUUUUGCAUUUGAUUGGCAAUGUAAUAUUGGAGUUUAGAAUCUAAAUUGCUUUCUCUUUGUAUUGCAUUAUCUAAGUUGAAUCGAGCAAUUUGAAGCCGACCAACCAUCUCCUUAGAUAUGCCCAUAAGAACCUCUGAUGUAUUUUCAGCCUCCAGGAACCUACCCCAAAUUACCUCCGCUGCCUCUUCCAUGAACAGAGCCACUUGUUCAGUUAAUUGAAGCUUUAACUUAAUAUCUUCUUCAUUUUGCUUUAUUUCUGUUAACUUCUUCUCAAGAUCUAGCUCCCUAGCAAGCGAUUUUUCCAACAUUCUUAGAAUAUGUCGCCUUUCAACUGACUGCAGUUGUGGCUUCAGAUAUAUUCCUGGAACUUCAGAGUUUUCUGAUAAAUCCACACCUAUGUUAAAGCUCCCUGUGAAAAAUAAACAGUUACAAAAAAAAAAAAACCAUGCUUCUUAAUUCUGUAAUCAAUGGGAGAUCCAACCUUGUUAAGUGACAUUCUAUGACUUACAUUCAUUUUGGUUGAAAGCUAAUGAUGUCAUCUGCAGCUUGGCUAACUGCAUUUUCAUCUCAAGGAUAUGAUCCUGCGAUCUUCUCACUGAUUCUUCAGUGUCAUGCAUUUUACUUUCCACUAUACUGGACAAAUCAUUUAGCUUUCCGCAUGAAGUUAUCUUAUGACGAGCAUUAAUUACACAGCAUGAACACUGCCCAUAAAAUUAUCCAGCUCUCUUACCUCAGAGUUCAAAAUAGCACUCAAGAUAUCAAAUUCCAUUGCCUUCUCAAUAAAUUCUGGAGAGAUAUCAUCAUAUUCAACAACUGAUUUCACAUCAUUUUGCCAGGCUAAACACGCAUUAAAAGAUUACCCAAAUUCACCAAUUUGUGAGAAGAGUAAGCUAGGUCCAAAUCUGCUCUAGUUAAAAAUUCCGUGGCAUUUCUUGCUUCCGAUACCCUGAGCUCAUAUGAAACACUUUCAGGUAAUUUUACUUUUGCAGAGUCUGAUUCAGCAGUUUCAAAGCUAUUAGAAGCCCGAUCAUCCAUUGAAACCCUGGAACAGGCAAAAGUUCAGGUUUAAGAAUUGAAAAUCAGAAGAGUUGCUGAUAGGCAUGCAGUGUCCAACAAGCCAGUACAGGUCAAACUCAAGGAAAUGGAGUAUAACAAGGCUGUAGCUAAGCCAGAAGAAAUCAACUACACCAUAAGCUGAACAUUUAGUCCCAUAAUUAUGACAUCCAGAUAAAAUUAGUCACAUCAGUACAAAAUGUUGAAAUAGCAAAAAAAAAGGCAUCAGAAGUCUUUUCAAAGUAAAACAUAUUACUACAGACUCUAGGAGGCUACAAAGGAAAUACAAAAAAGCUACUAGACAGAUUGCCAUCAAUAUAAAGAGGGAAAUACAGCCAUUAAGGGUGUAUAUAUGUCUCUCUGUGUGUCCAAUGAAAUGUCCAAUGAAUGUCUUAUUACAAUUAUGAUAUAACCCCAUUAUUAGCCACGAGUAUACCAUAAUGAAUCAAUUUAAGCAAUGAUUAUUGUCUUCAAGAACUCCAAAACCUACUCUAUAUAGGAUACACGAGACAAGCUUCAAAGCACACAUAAGGCUUGAAGUUCAAUCCUAGUAUUUAGCCGACAAAUACAUUACUAUGCAUCUCUAGGAAUCUUCGGCACUCAUUUCUUUCACUCACCCAACAUUUUGCAAGUCACAAGUAGGCAUGAAAAGCAUGAAACAUUUUCUUUAUGAUGCAUCAAAGUUUCAUCUUCAUAAUGUACACAGAUCUUAAGGUGUCUCUCUUCUGGAAAUGCCAAUAAAAUCAGAGUUAGAUCGUACAAGCUAGUAGUAGUAUACAUUGCACAUCUAACAAACUACAUUUAGUCGCCCAGCCAUUUGUAUUUGACCUCUCAUGCCAGAAUUUUAUCUUAAAGCAAUCACAAUUUGAAGCAACAUUUUUUUUCACGAAAACUAUCAAGGCUCGCCUGAAAUAGCCUUUAUGGUCAGUUGACAUUAUUAGCUCCAGAAUAGGCUUAGCUCUUUAGCUAACAAUACGUAUUACUUAAAAGAAGCAUAUUAGACACUUGCUUUAACCUCUUGAAAUCCAAAUAUGCAGACAUUACUUGUUCACAAGGCUUUGUGCCACCACAUAACUCGAAAGGGCCAAUAUAAGCAGCUUUGCCCUAGAAGCAGAUAUGCUGCUUUUGCAUCGUCAACUCCACAACCUCACAGGUGAACAUAGAUUGACCUAUAUCCAAGAUCCCCCAAAUGUUGGGCACAUUCAUGUAAAUUGAACAAAUAAAAUGCAGUAACUAGCUUAUUCUUCAAGUUUUAUAAUAUCACCUCCAAGUCCCACAUUUAUCUGUACUGCAAAGAUUUUAUUUGUAUGUUAAUUAAGGGAAAAAGAAGAAAGAAAUAACUUUUCAUUCAGUCUUCAAAGUUCAGAAGCUAAUUUACAAAAGCAGGCAGAAAGAAACUAUAUAGGUCAGAUUUUAGAAGCUACAUUUAUGUGCUAUAGUAAGGCUGACUUUAUGAAAAUGUUCCAUCACAAGUUCUCAUACAAUCAUAUACAUCACAUGUCAAAACUACCAAGCAUGAUAGAGUUCCAGAAGACCUAAAUUAUGGUUCAAAACGAAAGCAAUUAUGAGCGUCUCUUCUUAAAGAACUUCUACUUGUUCACCCUGUUUGGCAACUAUCAGAGUAAUCUUUUGAUAUAAUGCAUAGCCUCCCACACCAUCUUUGACAAUUUCAGCUUGUAAAGAGUGCCGAAAGCGAAUAUUAUCAAGCCCCAUAACAGGGAUUUCUAGCAGUUAAAGCAAUAAAUUAUCGACUUAAUAAGUCCACCAUUAUUCUGCAGUUUUCCACAUUCAGAAAAAGAGGACUUCUUUUAACUUUUAACCUUAACUUCAUACAGUAGACAAACAAAAGAGCCUUGAUCACUCAAAAAAGAAAAGACAAAAAAAACUUCCAGUCCAAUAUCUAACUUUUACUGGUCAUGUCUUUUCACAUUUCACAGGAUAAUGAGCUCAAAAUCCAACAUUAAUCCUCAAAAAUCACCACAUCCCACCAAAAAAAUGCAGACCCACAAAAUAUUUCUGGCAUAAAGCCACGACUUUUCUCCAUUUCCACAAGAACCAGAACAGAAAAGAGACAAAGGACUGCGAGAUUCAACGGUUGACAUAAUAUUCCUUAACAAAGUGAAAAUAUAGGAAGCACAUACCUGGUGCGGACUGCGGAGAGGAAAAUGUUUGCGGGUCGCGGUCUUCUUGAAUCGUUUACAGGAAAUUCAACUGCUCGGAAGUGUUAUGGGCUCUGAUAGUAUUCCUUAAAAUUAGUUACAGGUGAGCAGAGUCCAACGUAAGAAACCAAUUAUGAGGAUUGAAUUGAAUUGUGUGACCGGCAUAGUACAAAAAAGAGCCGAGUCGAAGCUUUAAGGUGUGCCGCGGGGCAUCCCAAUCAUAACCGGACGGAGCGAGUGGUCAACAUGACUGCUUGGAGGGAUUCCCAGCAAAAGAAAAAGUAAAAAAUACACGAGAUUUUUAACUGUAGUCAGUAGUCACAUUUGUCAGGACGUUUAGAAUAUAUUCACACAAAUUGAUGUAUAUAUAUUUUUAUACUGAAUCAGCCAUACAUACUUUUUUCUUUUUUUUUUAAUAAAAAAAAUUAUUUCAUUCAAUAAAUCUACACUAAUGACAGAAAUAUAAAUUAGUCAUACAUUCUUAAACAUGAAACAAAGACCCAAAAAAAAAAAAACAAUUGUGAUAGAGAAAUCCUAAGAAAUGGUUAAGAAAGGUAAAUGGCAUGGGGUGUCUUAUCGUGUGCUGGGAUGGGCCAACUAAACGUGCAAGUUAAGUUGUAUAAUUAAAGAAAGUAUCAAGUUGGGAUCGUCAUGAAUAAAGGGCAAAAGGGGACAAAAGGAGAAAGUGUAUAAACUUCCCUAAUCCAAACUUGAAUGCUCUUUUGACUGUUGCUACUAGCAUAAAGAUUUCUUUUUAGUUUUGAACCAUUCAUCAAAAUUUAGAUUAUAAUCCUUGAUCAUAAUGAUGUAGCCCUUAACAAUAAUGACAUUUUUAGCUCAAAAAAUAAAUAAAUAAAGCGCUUGCUAAACUUGCAUGGCAAAUUACAAAUUAUAUUCAAAGCAAUACUACCGUAAAUCAUAUAUUACUCCAAAUUUUUUCACUUUUCCCCACCAGAAAGCCCCACCCGCCACUUCCCAUUGAGUCCACUGUCCCGCCAUCCCCCUUUAUUAGAUUGUGAUACAGCUUAAUAUACUAAGAUUCUGGUUGAUAAUUCAAUUUAGUAUUUAAAUUUAAUGAAUUUUUUAAAUCUUAACAUAUUCAAGCUAUUUGAUAAUCAAAAAUUGAACAUCUGAAUUAAUUAAGUGACACUGAAUUUUCUAGAUAAAACUUGCUCUCAAAAUUUAGUGAUAAACUAUUCACUUAUUACUGAAUUUAAUAUGCACUCGAAUAUAUUAGAUUUGAUAAUUAACAAUUCAAUAAUUUAAUGGAUUCAGAUUUCAAAUUUUAAAUUUUAGACUUCAAUUUUAUCGAACGCAUCCUAAGUGGCAUUAAUUUAUUAGAUUGUAAAACUCCUGCAUUUUUAUCCCGGUGAAUUUGUGGGGAAUACUUAAGAAGAUUUUACAUGGAAGGUUCAAAAGUCAAAGCGCGUGUGCAAAAAGUCACAGCGCCCGUGCAGUGAAACGCAGAUAGAUCCCCAAAUGCUGAAUCGCGUAAAACAGCAAGAAGACAAGAAAAGCCCAACAAGAGCCAGUGAGAGAAUCCUAGAAACCAGGACUUACAAUCAUCAAUCCACUUGAUAAUGCGGCAACAAGUUAAUGACAAAGUUCAGUCUAUUAUUCCCAUUCAGUCUAUAAUGCAGCCCAAACAAAAUGAUGGAACUUAGAAGUGGUUGCUGAACCAAACCACCUGGUUCCAGCAAACAAAUGAUUCUACUAAAUAGUUUUCCUUUUCCAACUUUCAAAUUGAGAAAGAUUUUACUACGGUACCAUUGAGUCCUUAGCACUAGUACUAGAUUAGUGAGAAAGACUGUAGCAUUUUACAUAUUUGGUAACUACUUCACAUGUAAGGUAAUAAACUAAUAAUCAAACAUGUCAAGAUCAUUUUUAUGAUUUUAUUUUCAAACAUUGUACGUGUCAUUCAAUAAACUAAGUAUUUCAUAUCAAAUUGUGUGCUCGAGCUCGUGACAACUACAUAUGUCAGACAAAUCUCAGGGUGAGUCGAGUUGAACUCAAGUAACGCUGUAUUUGAGUUCAAAUUCAAUAAAUUCUCAAGCUACACCAGUUCGAAUUCAACUCGAUCGAGCAAGAGAACUUGUAGUUCAACUCGACUCGUGAGGAGAACGUAUAAACUCGAACUCAAUUCAAUAAGACUCAAUCCUAUUCUCAAUCUCUAAGUACUCGAAUAAAAAUUUGAAUUUCUCUAAAAUAUAACCCUUAACGGUCAAUUUGUAAUUAAAAUGAAUAAUUAUAUAAAUAAUAAAACUAUUGGAUUAGGCUCAUCCAGUACUUGAGUAGCACACAAGGGAGCUCCAACUCGACUUGAGAGAUGAAAUGAAUAGCUCAAUCUCGAACUUCAAUCAACUCGAAUUCGAGUCGAGUGUAUGACCAAGUCGCUUGCGAGCGCCUCAACUCGCCAGCAUCCCUGGCUCUCAGCACCAAUUAUGACCUUAAUUUUUAAGAGUUCUAACAUCAACUCUCAUGUGUGCAUUCGAUACCAGUUAGAACCCUAAUCCCUGCAAACAAAAACAUGUGAGACGUGAAGUUGUGCAAUUUAAGUUUCAUUUGAAAAAGCUAAUUUAUUGAUUGACCUGAUAAUCUUUUAUUAUGGUCCACUAAUAGUUAGCUGUAAUUAUCCAACUCUUUCAAUAGUUGUCUGAGAUGACAGUUACAGACAUACAAUUGUACAAAUGUAUGAUCAUAAACUUUAAGGAGUCCGGAUUACUAAAUUGCAUUUUCAAAUUAAGUGGGGUCUGCUGCAUGAUAAUGCCAUUACAGGGAUUGCAUAACUACUUAGAUUAAUUAUUUUAUUGUUUUGCACUGUGACCAUCCCGUGGCUGUAGUUUAGUGGUUAGAAUUCUACGUUGUGGCCGUAGAGACCUGGGCUCGAAUCCCAGCAGCCACAAGGCGGCGUUUUGCCUACAAUGCAAAGGACAAUGGUCAUAUAAUUUCUUUUUUUCAAAGUUCCUAUAAUGUUUCACUAUUUGUAAUUUCUUUAUGGAAAAAGCCGUCCUCGAAGGUCUGAGCUUUGAACUAAAAAGGGGUACUGAGGCUAUUGAACUAUCAAGCAUUUUUUUGUUAAACCUUUCUAUUUUUCUUGCUUUCAAGAAUACUCCUCCUGUCGAGAGCUCUUUGUUGUCUUGUCGUUUUUUUCUUUUAGCUGUUGCUCAACAAGGAAAUAUCUAUAAUUUGGACCUGCUAGUUAAACUAAAAUGUAAUUUCCACUUCCCAUGGCCCAUGGGCAGAAAAGUUUAUCCGCCCUGAAUUCUUGACACACCAAGAAAGAACGAUAGAGAUUCUUAACAUCAUCUAAAAUUUCCUGUAUCAGAACCAAAUGAUCAACGCAUCCCUUCGCCUUGUCAGUGAGACAGUACAUGAAUACGAUUGCCAGUUGCAAAAUUCUUAUCAUCAUCUUUAUUUUCAUUAUCAUUUUCAUGAAUACUUAAAGAUAUCAUCAACGUAUAUAUGUAAACCAAACUGUAGGACUAAGGCUGGUGAAACACAACAUUAGUUUGUAUGAACCAUGAAGAUUUCAGUAUUUGCAAAAAGACAAGAGUUAGGCUGUUGAUAAUAUGCCACAUGCUUCUGAUUAAACCAAAGAGAAAGCAGGAGUAAUUUGAAGUAGACCGGAUGUGCCCAUUGUGCAUGAAAUGUUACCAUCACUUUACGGAAAGGCAUGGUGAGCUGCAUGCUGGUACUUUUACUUUCACUAAGAAAUCUAAUCAUAAAUUCUUCCUGUUCCUUUAACUUUUCUGCCUAAUGGCUAAUGUACUGCUAUAUCUCCAUCUUGUGUCAAUCUGCUUGCCAUUUUGAACUUGUAUGUGGGGGGAAAAAGGUCUGGAACAAGGAUCCCAAUGUUGCUUUGUGCAGUAUAUUGUUUUCACCAAAGAAAAGCAGGCAGCAAAAUUGCUGAGUUCCCAGGCUUCUACGGUUGCCUUAUCCUGUUUGGUUAUGUGUAGCUUAAGUUAUUUACAGGUCAUGGAUUGAGUAGUCUAGGUCAUGUGUAUAAUACUACACAAGUUGCUUUACCACCUCGUACUCGGGUGCUGAUGGCAUUCCCUCUUGUGGUCUAACUAAUAGAAGAUCAAGUUGAGAUUGAAAUUUAAUUUUGGGAAAUAUUUGAGUGCUGGAAUGAUUGAAGUGGUAAUGUUUUCCUAAAGAGAUAAAAUUAGAGACCUAAGAAAAAGCAUUAGUUUCAAUUUCUAAAUUUUCACUCAAAGUAUAAAAUUUCUCCCACUUAAUUAGAUUCUAAAGUAUAAAAUUUUGUCUGAGUCUCAUUUCCAUCAACGAUUUUACUUAAGUGGGAUAAAUUUAUAUUUUAGGGAUUAAAAUAUUUUAUUUUAAAAAAUUUAGAGAUCAAAGUAGAAAUUUGGGUGUAGAUGAAGAAUGAAGAGUUGAAUUAACCAGAAGAGAAAUGCCCGUUCAUGAAAAAUGUCAUGGGAUAAUAUGAUAUUCUACGUGACAAUACAGGCAAAAUUGCACUACAAAUUUGUACUGAUAAACAAACUAGAAGUAUCACCAAAGAAAAUGUGGUGGUCAACAAUAGCAUUUGUUAGUAGUUGCUAUUCAGCAUAUUGAAUUCACAAUCAAAACCCAUAUUUUCUGGAAUGUGUAUUUUUUGAAGGAGUGGUAGAGGACAGGGACUGAAACUUGAAACCUUUUAAUUUUUUACUUUCUAAAAUUCAAGAAUCAAGAUUCAGUUUGAAAUGUAAUGUUGAUUGUCAGAAAAUCCAAUCCAAAUUCGGGCAUCAGCCUGCUGGGUACUCUAUGCUGGUUUCCUUGAAAGUAAUCAAAAUUCAUUAGCAUUUGGAAACGGUCAAUGUGAAACGAAUUUGGGCAUUUCUUUUCUCUACAAAUUGUUUGUUUCUAUUGUACUCUUGUUGCUCGAUCUUCUGCAAUUUAAUAAAGUGGAAAGAUUAUGACAAUGUUAGAAAAGGAAGCAGGUAAUUAUCUAGGCUUAACCUAUUUGUUCAAAGUUUAGUGGGAAAAAACUUCACCCUGAGCCAGCUAAAAACCAUGUAGUAAGAUCCCAUGUGCUAUAUGUCAAUCACUUUGACCAUCUCUCACCCCUCUGGUCUAAACCAUCACCACAAAUAUACUUGAAUUGAUUAGCUCAAAGUAUAGUAGUAAUUUGGAAGUGCGUUUUAGACUGCCUCUACCAUACCAACUACCAUGUGUUGAUGGAGGACCGUCUCAUUCUCUUGCUUGCUGGAUACAUGCAUUCUCUUCAGAAAAGGGCCAUGUUCUUGAUUUUACAGCAAAUUCCAGUCAUAUGCUUAAUUUUGUAAGAUAAAUCUUAUUUAGCUGUCUAUUCAUUUUAUAAUAGGGUUUUUCUAACGGGUGCUCUAGGUUCACUCGUUAAGACACUUAUAGUAUUCAUCUAACCUAUCAUAUAUAUAUAUAAACUAACAACUAUUAUCCUUCCUUGCAUUCAUAUGCUUUCCCUAUUUAAUUUUGCUUACCCUUCCUUGUAUUUAUUUACUUUCUCUAAUUAAUAUUAUAUUUUUAAAAAUAAAACACCUGCAAUAUAUCCUAACGAAUGCCCUAUGGGCACUCAUUAGAUAAACCGUUUAUAAUAAGGUACUUUGUUUGCUGUUACCUAAGCUUUGUAGCAUAUUUUAACUUAAAAAUAAUUUAUGUUUAAGGGAAAAAAAUUCAAAUUACUUCACUUUCAAGAAAGAAUCAAAAGUUAGUCACCAUCUAAAGCUUCAGCUUGUUUUUUUUCAUGCCUAUGGCCACCUAUAAGUUUUUUAAGCGCACCUUCUGGGAUCACUAAAUGGAUAUCUAAAGAGAGUUUAUUCUUGUGUGAAUAAGAGCAAAAUCCGGCUUAAAUUUGGGUUCUGGCGGCCACAAAAUUUAGGUAAGCUCAAUUUUUGUAUGAUCCAUCAAGGUCUCUAGCUAGAACUAUAUGAUCCAUAGGCUGAAUAAUCAUUCUUGUGAUCUGAAUACCACUUAAACAAGUGCCGCAUAUUAAGCAUCUUGAUUGCCAUAAUUGUGAAUGAAGACCAGCCACAGAAUUUACUAUUGUGACAAGAUGUCAUUACUGUAUAGAUUCAGCAUUAGAUUUGUUUGGCAAUUAUUGUUUGUUUCUAUCCUACUCGUACUUUUUUGUGAUGUUGGUCAUGCAGUUGAUUCUUUCCACUAAUUAAAGGGGCUUCUGAGAACUUAAUUUAUUGUAGUGAUAAAGAUACUGCUUUGGCCAUAAUAUCGUGGAAAGCAAACAAACAAGCAAAGUAGAACAAAAGCACAACUAAUUUCUAGUAAAGUAUCAGUAACUAGUUGGUUCGAAUGGAUAGGAGAUCAUUUGAAGAAAAAUUAUACUAUGAAAUAAUCUUGUAGUAUUUUUUGUGAUGUGAUGUAUAUGUGAUAAAAAAAUGAUUGAAAAUUGUGUUUUCAGAAGAAUUUUGUUUAUGAUGCAAGCAGAACAAAAUAUGAUUUUUUUUUUUUUUUGCUUUGUUUUUUGGCAAAUCUUGUUAACUGGACAUACCUAGGCUUUUUGUUUGGUGCAAGAAAUUAGAAAAGUGAUAGGCUAUAUAGCAAAAGCCCUAAUUAAGAAUAAAUAGGACUUAUGUUACAUCAUUGUAUAUUUUCAAAGAUUUUCAUUACAUGCACGUAGAGAUCAAAGGGCUCAUUCUUGGUAAUCGAAUUUGGCCACCAUAAUUAUACUCAGUAAAGAGAAGCUCUCCACUUUGUUGAAAUCCUGCUUUUCUUAUGAAUAAUCCAAAGCACGUUUGGCAGCAAUAAGCUAAUAUCUGAUUGGAAGCAUUGAAGAUUAGUUAAAGUAUUAAACAUCAUUAGAGCAAUGUGUUAAGAUCCUUUCAAGCUUCAAUGACAUCCAUCAUUCAUGGGAACCACUACUGUCUCCUAGAGUUGGCUUCUGUGGAGUUAUUAGAUUAUGCACUCGAAUUUUCUUUUGCUGUUGACUGGUUUGGUAAAUCAUUAGCUGAUGCAUACCCAACCCUACCCUCCCCACCCCCGCCCCCAAUAAAUAAAUAAAAAAAAAAGGCCCCACAUCCCACAAUAGCAAAUCUGGCUUGUGAAAACACGGAUUAACAGACGUAUGAGGAGCAAGUAAGCUACCAUUUACCAUCACUGCUAUGUUUGGUGUAGCAGGAAUUUUUGUUUUUGGUUGAAGAUGAUAUAUGCACUAACAGAAAGGAAUAAAAAGCAAAGGUCGUGAGAAGGGGAAUCCCAUGUUUUAGGGGGAAUUCUUCAAAAAUUGAAAAUGGGAAUAGAUUCUCCUAUUGCUCUAAGAUGUAGCUCAUAGUUCAUCUGGAGGGCCAACUGCCAAGAAGCUACAUCCUUCGUAAAUUUAUGAUAGAUGGAAAGAUACCGAUUUUCAUUAAUAAAGCAAUUGACAAAGAAGUGCAUUUUUUCCUUUUGAAACGCGUCUUUUGUUUCUUCUUCUUGUUCUUCUUUUCCCCCCACUUUUAGCCAACUUGGGAGGCUGUGGAAUGGUACCAGAAACUAAAAUCGAAGAAUCUGUGCCUUUAAGAAUUAUAGGCCUCGAGGAGAGGGCUGCAAAUUGUGUUGCCUACCAAGCAAUCAUUGCAUUGUUUUUUCUAGACUUUACUGUAAAUGCAAUACUAUAAUCUUUUUCCAUCUAUUUCAGACGAUUACCAAGUGGAAAUGGAAUUUUCGAAGAAUUGUAGUGCUGAUAGAAAAUGGUUUGGUUAUUCAAGUUUGAUCAUAUCCCGUUUAUGUUAACUCUCUUUAGAAGAUUCAUUGAACGACCAUCACAUCAAUAUUCAGAAAUAUGGCUCCCUUGCUUUUAAGUAGAGGUUAGUAGACAAAUGACAAAUUUGGAGUCAUAUCAGAAUUGCCAGCAGAGAUAUUAGACAGCUCAACCCCUUAAAAUCCUAAAAUUAAACUUGCAAAUAUCAGGUCACGGAAGAAAGAAAUGAUCAGCAUCUAUCAUAGUACUGAUGCAAGGAUUCUACGUGGAAGUGACAUGAAAGGAUUGAUGUCCCUGCGAUGAAACCAACUCCUGCUAUGAGCUAUCGGAUUAUUGCUGGAAUUUCGCAUUUUAGAUGCUUUAAAAUGUGUAAUCUAUCUACCUUAGCAGUAGUUGGUCAAUAAUGCAGAGGAACAUCCAAUCAUGAAAUGGAAAAUGAUAAACAAUUUUUGAAGCCUCAGGCCUAAAGGAAAGAAUUUUUGGGUCUUCAAAACAGAAAAAGUAGUAGAAGAUACAAUGAUUUCCUACUCAUUUGGGUACCACCCACUAAGUGCAUAUCUUCAUUAGGAUUAUGGUCAAUUUGUCCUACCCCAUUAUUUGACUACUUUUGGGCUCCAAUGCCUCAAAAAGAGGGAGGAGAGAAGGUUUAGCAACUCACUUGAUUGAUUGAAAAGAAAUUCUGUUAAUCAAGGACCAUCCAUAAGAAGAAAGCAUCCAAACAUGGAGCUGAAAAGGAUCAUCAGGUGGCUCCACUUGUUGGAUUCCCAUAGCCAGAAAGGCACAAUAGCUCAUUGCAUCUCCUCUUAAAGUUGGACGAUAUUACUCAUUUCAUAAUUCAUUUCAUUUUUUUUUUAUUGAAGCAUGCAACUUUCAUCAAGUUUAGAUAGGUUUUCUUUAAUCAUGAUUCACCAAUUUGCGAUAUGCUAUACUCUCUAAUCUCUACGGUUCAAAGUAUAGAGAUGAAUUGGUGGUCGAAAACCCAAGAAAGUAUUACCAUGAUGCACCCGUAGUAUGUAAGUCGUCUACAAAGAUUCACGUCCUACGUGGAGUGCUUGUAGAGGAGGAAAAUUAACAGUUGAACCACUCGUGAAAAUUGAGAAUGCAUUCCACAUUCAUCGUCAAUUAACCAAGACAGAGACAUCUUUUACUUGCUUGUCCUCUUGUUCAUUCCUUGAAUGAUAAUAUAGCUGGGAUCCUGAUUCCUGACACUACCUGGCCGCAGCAAACAUGUUUUCAUCAACAUGGUAGCUGACAAUACAUCUAAUCUGACACCCCAGACUCCCUUUCUUGUUUUUGCCAUAUGCUUUUGAAGGUGCACGAUGGAUUCCAUUAAUCGUCAAUACAUGCAAAUAAAAGAGUCCAAAAGGCUUGUCAAUCAUAAUGAAAUUGUGCUAAUCUUGUUUACUUGCAUGUUCGAUACUUACAAUGUGCGAUUUAACCACAUGCACAGUGAUGUCGCAAUCGUAUUCUUAUCUUGCAUUAUCUCGUAUCAAAAUAUGUAUCAGGCGUUCGAACCAAGAACUUCUCAUCCUUAGAAUCUCCAUUUUCACGACUAGAUUAAAACCUUUUCUGAUCUUUUUCCCCCUAUUUCCCAGGCAGAAUUCCUUCUUCUGGUAACUGGUAUCAACCCAGGAUUUCUUCGGCUAGUGCUGUGAAAAUGAGAACAAGGAACACGAUCUGAGGGGGAACAUCUCACAUUGGACAGAGAAAUUUUAUGUACUCAAUACAAUCAUUGAUCAACAACCAAAGAACAUUAUGAUUGUAGGCAGCCGACCCCUAAGAAUAAGAACGUUUGACAAGGUCAACGCUCAUGAUGAGGUCAACACUGCACGUGUCUGGAAGUACAAUACCAUAAUGCAUAAACCUUGGGUCCUUCUUACGCAUAACUUCGCAGAUACCUGCAGCUCAGGUUCUGAUCGGACGGCUACAAUUCAAUCUUCAAUACACUGUUUUAGAUAUGCCCACCUGAUCUAUUGGACCCACAUGCAAGUUGAACUGGGCUGGGCUUUGGGAGUGGUUUGGUAUAUAAAGAUGGACAGAGCAGCUUUAGCUUUUCAAAGUGGUUCUUCCAAUGGGGUUGGAUUGGUUGGACUGCCUGUUGACUAAGGGAGAGAGGUGGCUAAUGCUCUUUGGGCAUCAAAGAUAAAAGCAAAACCCAGCUUACAUCAUAAUAAUUGUUAAAAGAAAAAAGUGGAGCAUAAUUCACUCAAUAAAGAUCUCACGAGGAGUCAUUACAUCACCAAUCUCGAGUCUGUCUCGAGAUUCUCACCUUUUGAGUGCAAUGAGUAUUUUCGCAUUUAAAGGGCAAAAAAGGGCCUAAUCAUUUUUUUUUUGUUGUAAAAGUAUGUCACUAUUCAUAAUUAAAAAUCAAUAACAAGAAUAGACAUUGGAUUAAGCAUUUAUUGAUCUCCUAGACGAAUUUCUCACUUCCUUUUUAAAGUAAAUUAUUACAUUAUUUAAUUAAAAAUUAAUAACACUUUUGCCCCUCCCCCCUCCUCCACCCCCUCCCUAAACGUUUGGGGUGUCACCACUUUAUCGUCUUCGACAUAAAAAAAAUACAUUUUGCCCCCUUAAUGUGCUGUGCUAUAAACGGUUGAAAAUAUUCGAAUGUGUUAUUAGGGCAAAAUGUAUUUUUUUUUUAAAAAAAAUGGGGCUGGUAAAGUGUUAUGACUCGAAACGUUUAGGGGACAAAGUGUAAUUAAUUCAUUUACCUAUUUUCAACAUUUAUACUAACAUGGAUUUACUUGCAAAGGAAAUGCUUAUUGAUGUUGGCUCAAAGUUACCUAAGUAUAGGGACGUGUCUUACUGUCUGAUUUGCUUGGAGAAAUAAUACUCUCAAAUUUUGAACUACCAACACAUAAAUUCCCAACAUGCUUACUGUCUAGUUUUCAGAAACCAACAUGGUAAUUUAGAAAACCAUUGGGACUUCUGUCCUAAUGUGUAAAAAUAUUGCUGGGACAGAAAAGUUUAAAAAGGAAAAAACAAAAGAGACGCCAUCCUGUGAAACCGGCAACCCAGGAUCAGAGUGCAAAGAUUUUUGCUUUCAUUGUAAGCAACGCUAAUUCUACCUGUUAAAAAAAAAAAAAAAAGCUUACUUGCAGUGAUGAUUUAGACAACUGAAUUGCAUGGAUAAACAUCAAGUUUUGUUUAAUUUUGAUGAACUGAGAACAAGAGAUUUUUGUUGGUUUCAUGCAAGAAGCAGCAGGAGCAGGUGAUAUAUGCACUGUGUGACUGCGUGCAACAUAGUAUUAGUAAUGUCUGCAUGUUUAUGCUUGUUUCUUUUAAUAAGUCCAAAUUUGCAGAUGACACUAAGCAGAGAAUGUUGGAUUCCCACAUGCCUCGAUGGAGCUUAGCAAAUCGAACCAAUCCCAAUACGCAUGUACUCUUACAUCUCCAAAUUCGAAGCAAAUCCCACUCCCAUGUAUCCUAAGUCUCUACAUAACACUCUGAUAUACGUGCAUAUCUGUCUAUGUUUCCAGGACCCACAGAGAAUUUUUGACAUAAACUUCUUGACUACAUAACCCCUUUAUAGUGCUUAACAGUCAGCAUCUAGCUCCCAUACUUUACAGUUUAGAUCCUGUAAAGUUAUUCAAAAUUCUCUCUCUUUUUUUUUUUUUUUGUUUUUUGGGAGCAGUUGAAUGUUGCACUUAUACAUAAGUAUAUUGUGUGGAAGUAUAACUUUAUUGUGAAGGAGCGUAUAUUUAUUGUACCAAUAUACACACUGUUUGAGUCUCAGAUUCUUCAAUUAUUUUACAUGCAUGGGACCAUCAGAGAAUUUUGAAUUUUUGAGAUAAAUUCUUUUACCUUUACCUUAUUGUACAUUAGUACUGCCCAAUAGUCAGCAGUUCCCAUAUUAGUACAUUUUGAAUUCUUGCAAUUUGUAGGAAUAAAAAACUCUAGAGACACUUGACAAUUUCUUUUGCUUUAGCCAAUGCACGAUGCAAGGAAUUUUUCUUUUUCCACCACCUUUCGAGUUUAUCUAGAUUGGGUUAAAUAUCAUUUUUCUUUCUUUAUAUUCUUUUCUUCACCUUUGUUGACAAGUGGCAGGCAUGUUAGUUCCCACUUUUACUACCAAAACCUCUGUUUUUCUCUUGGGUCAGUCUGCCAGAAGCUCUGAGUUGGUGAAGAUUCUUGGCAUGGCAAGCCGGAGGAAUUGUACUAUUGUCAUAUGAUGUUUGUAUGUUGUUACAUAAUACAGAUGCAACUUAGUUGAAGAUUGUGUCUUCUAUUGUGAUCAGCCAAGGCUCAUCAACUAAGUCCUGUCAGCUCCAUAAUUACUUUCUUCAUCAGCUAAACAUCAUUUUGCAUUCUGGGUUGCUUUCUUUUUGGGAUUCUUGAUCCAAUGGAAGUGGGAAAAGAAGCUUCUGUUUUUUGUUAUGUCGUUUUAUUCAGCUUCUUGGCUUGUUCAAACGCUUGGCUUUCUCCUGACGGUGUUAAUCCAGAAGGUAACUAUAAUUAGUUUUGUAACUGAAUUUUUCUGUUGUGUUGUGUAUCAAUUCAGUACUUUCUCAAUGACUUGAUUAGUAUCUCUGAACCAUGCUUCUUUCCCCCCUACUCCCCAAUCAGUGGCUGCUUUGAUGGAUAUUAAGGACCUUCUGAAAGAUCCUCAUGGUGUUCUAAACUGGGAUAGAAAUGCAGUUGAUCCAUGCAGCUGGUCUAUGAUUACCUGUUCACGUGAUACUUUUGUCAUUGCCCUGUAAGUUAUAUGGUUUUGUAUGUUAAUUAAAUAUUUACAAAUAAUUAGAUGAAGGUUCUUAGCUGGGGGAGGUAGAAUUAAAAAAGGCAAAAUGUAUCUGCUAUUUUCAAGAUUAGCCUUCUCCUGAAGAUUUUCUGAAAAUGGUUGAAUUGGUGUUGUUGCAGAGCAGCUCCAAGCCAAAGUUUGUCUGGCUUGAUUUCUCCUAGCAUCAGGAACUUAACCCACCUUCAGACUCUGUGAGUACUGCACCAAACAAAGAACUACGCCUUCACCUACGUAAUAAUCAGUAGAUAUUUUAUUUAUUUAGUGGUUUCAUCGCACCGACCUUUUUUGCAGGCUUCUGCAGAACAACAACUUAUCAGGACCUAUCCCCUCUGAGCUGGGAAGGCUCCCAAAACUUCAGACAAUUGAUAUUUCUGAUAAUCUGCUCACUGGGGAAAUUCCUCCUUCUCUAGCUCAACUGAAAAGUCUCCAAUACCUGUAAGCAACCAAAUCCCAGUGUAUACUUGCCUUUCUUAAAGCAUAUGCAAUUGUAGAGUAAAAGAAAUUGUGUGCCAAUGGCUUUUUGCAAUGCUAGUGCUUGAUUUCUGAAGAUAUUUUCUUCUUUUUCUUCUUUUUGUUCGUUUUUUUGUGGGGUAAAUUGGACAGGAGGGUAAACAAUAACAGUCUCACAGGAGCUAUUCCUUUGUCAUUGAUGAAUAUGACUCAGCUGACAUUUCUGUAAUCUUCUUGACCCUUUUGCGGAUCUUAUAAAAUAUUUCUCCAGUUUCUCUUCUAGAACUCAUCUCUAUUUGUGCUGUUUUUCAUGUUCUAGAGACUUUUCUUUCAAUAAUUUGAGUGGUCCUGUACCAAAGCUGCCUGCUAAAACAUUCAAGUAAGUUUUCUGAAAACAUUUUAACUCUCAACACACUUUGGAUUGAUAUCAUAAUUAUGACUAAGUUGCUUAUAUUGGCUCAGCAUUUUGGGAAAUCCAAUGAUAUGUCCAACUGGGAAGGAGCCAGAAUGCAAUGGGACAGCUCCGAUGCCUCUAUCCUUGCCUUUAAAUAACUCCCAAAGUAAGAAAUUAGCGCCUUCACUUAAAUCAAAAUGUUCCUUUCACGCCUGGUUUCACAUUUUAUGCAUGGACUUCCGUUAAAAGAAUUUCUACAAUCUUAUGUGUCAUAGUUCAAGCUUAAUUUUAUGUUCUGUUGGCAUUUUCAUGUCUAAAUGAGCAGAUAUUUGCAAUUAGCUGAAAAAUCCUUCCGCAUAAUCCAUUCUUAACUAAAAUGUUCUUUAUUUGCUAAGGUCUUCAGCCUGCAGUUAAACCUAAAAGUAACAGAGUUGCCUUAGCCUUUGGAACAAGUCUUGGAUGCAUCUGCCUGCUAAUUAUUGGAUUUGGUUUCUUUCUGUGGUGGAGACAAAAGCACAGUCAGCAGAUAUUCUUUGAUGUUAAUGGUAAGGACCAGGAGGAAUAAACAAAAGGAAAUAUUGGUUGUCACAUAGUUCUGUCCUCUUAAAACAAGAGUUCUUCAUAAUUGCAGAACAACACCAUGAAGAAGUGUGCCUAGGAAACUUGAGGAGAUUCCAAUUUAGAGAACUUCAGGUGGCCACAAACAACUUCAGCAGCAAAAACAUUCUUGGAAAAGGUGGUUUCGGGAAUGUCUACAAAGGCUAUCUCCAAGAUGGAACAAUUGUAGCAGUCAAAAGGCUAAAAGAUGGCAAUGCCAUUGGUGGAGAUAUUCAAUUCCAGACUGAAGUUGAGAUGAUUAGCCUUGCAGUUCAUAGGAACUUGCUCCGACUCUACGGAUUUUGCAUAACACCAACUGAAAGACUCCUGGUGUAUCCCUUCAUGUCUAAUGGAAGUGUUGCCUCACGUCUUAAAGGUAAAACAAUCAUUUUGGAUUUUCAUAUUCAGGGUCCUGCUGCCACUCUUGAAAUUUUAGAACUCUGUCAAGUGUUGCUAAAGGAUGGUCAAUGGUAAAUAUGCUAGAAGUUGGGGGAUUCAGGUGUUCCUUUAUAUCAAAUAUGGCUAUUUGCCCAUUUGUCUCAGGGUUUAGCAAUUAUCUAUCCAGAUGAUGGAAUUGAUUUGUCUACUCCACAGCCAUUUAAGAGUUUUUUAGCACCUUGCUUCUUGCUAGAUUUUCCGUUUCUCAGCCGAGAUGAAUGUGAUCGAUACCAUCUGAUGUUAUUCUAUUCAAAACUCGCAUGUUUCCUGCUGCUGCAGCCAAACCGCCCUUGGAUUGGGGUACAAGGAAAAGAAUUGCACUGGGUGCUGCAAGGGGAUUGCUGUACCUGCAUGAGCAAUGCGAUCCCAAGAUUAUUCACAGAGAUGUGAAGGCUGCAAACAUAUUGCUGGAUGAUUACUGUGAGGCAGUUGUAGGAGACUUUGGACUGGCAAAGCUCUUGGACCAUCGCGACUCACACGUCACAACAGCUGUAAGGGGCACAGUAGGGCAUAUAGCUCCUGAAUAUCUCUCGACAGGCCAGUCAUCAGAGAAAACAGAUGUCUUUGGGUUUGGAAUUCUUCUGUUAGAAUUGAUCACCGGACAGAGGGCUUUAGAAUUCGGCAAAGCAGCAAAUCAGAAAGGAGCAAUGCUGGAUUGGGUAAGCUUGACAGGCACUUUUAAGGGCUACAGUAGAGGAGCAUUUGAGGUCCUUUUUGUCCUUGUAUCAUUCGCAUUUGGUUUGAUAAAAUCCUAAUGUGCAUUAUUGCAGGUUAAAAAAAUUCACCAAGAAAAGAAGCUUGAGUUGCUAGUUGACAAGGACCUGAAAAACACCUAUGACAGGAUUGAGCUAGAGGAAAUGGCACAAGUGGCUUUAUUGUGCACCCAAUAUCUUCCUAGCCACAGACCUAAAAUGUCUGAAGUGGUUCGGAUGCUAGAAGGCGAUGGACUUGCGGAAAAGUGGGAAGCCUCUCAAAGAGCUGAGGCUACAAGAUGCAGAGCCAAUGAAUUCUCAUCUUCUGAAAGAUAUUCUGAUCUAACAGAUGACUCUUCAUUGCUUGUCCAAGCAAUGGAACUCUCGGGACCCAGGUGACAUCUUCCUCAAAGAGGAAAAGAAAAGCUCCAAGUACAUGAAAAGCACGAAACGUCAGAGAAAAGACUGACGUGCAACCAACCUGUGUAUAGACUUCAUAAGCCAGAAGAAAGCUCGACGAUGAAGUAAUGCCUUAUGCAACCAUGACUGUAUAGUUCUAUCUGAGAAACUUGCUUUUUGACCGUAAGUUGUAUGGGCAUUUUUCUUCCGUUUUUAUUCUUUUUCUUCUUCUUUUGGUUUUCUUAUUGGUUUCUAGAUUGAUUGGGAAUUUUCAAGGGAUUGUGCAAUAAAUGUGCUUUGUUAAUCGGAUUGAGUUAAUAUAUGCUUCUUGCUGUGAACAAUCUUGCCACAUGGUUAGCACCAGUAGGAGCAUUUUACCAGCACAAGUAACACAACAAAACAACUACUGGAGAGUAGCAACAAUUUUAGUUAUCAAUUACGGUCAACGAAAGGGAGUACUUGACGGGAAGAAGUUACUAUAGGCUGUAGCAAACUAGCAGCAGGAAAUUUCAGUUCAUGCUGCUCUUAGGCAGUUGCUAUACAUAAUUAUAUGAAUGAAACAAUCUCCUCCUGCAUACCCUCUGUGUGUGUGUGAGAGAGAGAGAGAGAACUACCUAGAGCUGAAGUCAUUUUGAUUCUUGCUAAUAAUUGUAUAAGAAUGUUUGAAUAAUGUACAGAGCAAGGAGCAAAAAGAGAAGAAAUUAGCAAAAAAAAAACUUUGACAAGGGACCGCAAUUUAUGGUUGUUCUUGUACAAAUAUGACUUCAGCUUGUGCAGAAGCCCGUCUAAACCUCACCAAGUUAACCAACAUACUCAAUCUUCCUUCCGUAACGUAAGCACUGGGUGUGAUAGUCAUCACUUUGAGUACAGGUGCAUGCUCCAACAAAAACUUGAUGAACCCCAUUUCAUGCAGCGUCCCAGACACCUCAGUUAUCUUCACAGUUUUGAGCUGAUCGAACAUGUAAUCAGUUGGACAUUCUUUCUCCCAAAAACCCAAAUCAGAACCAACUACAGCAGCUGCUGUGUUUGAGGGACCCUAAACAGAUAUGAGGAGAGACAUCUAAAUGAUUAGAUAAGAUACUUGGAAUGAGUUGCAGUAUAGAACACAUUCUCGAUUACUUACCGCAAUAUGAAGCUCUUUUAGAUUUGGGGAGCUCACAAUCAGACGAAGUACAGCGAGUACUUCAUUCAGGUCUUCAAAGUUUACUUGAUACAAUUCAAUAAUUUUAAGAUGGUGAUACUUAAUUGGAGUGCUUCCACUGUCGAUUCCUAUGCUGAGAUACUAAGAGAAAGGAACAAUAGAUGAAUUCAACAAGAUAUGAUGAAAAUAAAAAGUGUCCUAUUAAGGUACAUGCACGAGGCUCACUAAAAAGCCUUUACAAUGUCCAACUUUGAUGUAAAACAGAUGAGUAAGUUCCACACAAAACUUACCUUUGUGAAGUAUAUUUGCCCAACAAGUCUUUCAAGACAUGGAACACCACCAAGAAACUUAUCAAAAUUGCAGCUUGAACUUUGUUCAAAGUGUUCGGCUAUAUCAUCAGUAAUGUACAUAGCAAUAGACACGGCUAUCAAGCGUGGGGUGUUCUCAAGGCAAAUAUCCAUGAACUCACCCUCCAAGAUCAAGUACUUCAGAUUUGGAGCAUGCAGAGCGAGCUCCAAACCAUCAAAGUACGACAAUGUCAAACUCUCAAGCAGUGGGCAACUUGAAAUGAGAUACUCAAUAUCAUCCGGAGGCAUGAGAAUUUGUUGAAGAUUAAGAUACUUCAGACACAAGAAGCCCUUAAAUUUUGGUGGAGGGUCCAAUUCACACCUCACAAGCUCCAAAUGAGUCAAUUUUGAACACGUAAAAAGACAAGAGGGUGCCCUAAACCACUCACCUUCACCUAAUUCAAUGCUUAAGUUCCUAAUACCCCUUCUUGAAAGAAAAAGCAGCCACUGAUCUAUAUCAGGGGAACUUUGCAAGAAUGAAGUAGAUAAUGCAAACUUGUGAAUAGGUCCAUCAUGAAGAAAAAGAAAAUGGGUGAUGAAACUCACAAGUUUGUUCUCCAAAAUGGGUCUGUCAUAACAAGAGCUCACACAUUUAUCAUUAAAUACAAGAUCUGUGAUGGUAGUCCAUUUAUACCUCCAUUUGCUUGACAAUGCACAUGUCCUGACAGCGUCCCUUAUUGGAAGCUUUGUCAGGAUAGUUUCUAUGAUGCUUUGAGGCAGAUCACUAAUCAAAUCCUCCCUCAGAUCAUUAUCCAUCAGUAAUCUUCACCAAAUGAGGACCUGAAUUGUAAUAUCUUAAAUCCACCAAUCAAUUAUUAUUCGAAGUAAAAACUAAUAUGAGAUAAUAACGAAAAAUGAGCAGGAAUAGCAAAACCAGAUUACACUUUCCCCUGUGAAUGAUCAAGCCAAAUAAAGCACAAAAUCUGAAAUUCAACAAAGUCAUGCUCUAUUGGAUUCCCCCUAUAUGUCAGAAAUCUAAUAGAAAGACCGACUUUUUUUUUUGGGGGUUUGGGGAGAAAGGGGUUGAGACAACAAUUCAUACACUUCCCUUCUCUGUGAAGCUUUAUACUAAGUAAUUCUUAUUCAUUACCAAUUCAUAUACCCUAAAAAAAUACAGAACUUGACAACCAAUUGACCUCAAUCUUCUCACCAACCAUACCAACCAAUGCUGAUCAUCUAUCCAUAUGGCACAUGAAAUUCCAAUUAGAUAAUACUGCUUUUAUCCAAUUCCAAGGAUGACCCAUUAAACAUCAUGCAAAUUUGACACAGCCCAGAUGGGAAAGAUAACAUCUUGACAAUAUAUGAAGCUGACAACAUGAUCAGGACAGUAGAAACAAAAUAUAACAAAUUUUACUUAGACAAACAUAAAAGAAGCUUACCAGUAUAAUUGAGGUCCAAUAUAUUCUGAUACAAUUGGAAAGUGUGAAUUAAGGGACGCGUAGGAGCUCUGCUGGGCUAUGGAGCAGAAGGAAGGAACCGAGAACGAGAAAAACCGAAGAAGCUGGCGACGAAGAAUUAGAGAGGGGUUUAUAGCAGGAGGUGGGGGAGAUUUACUUAUUUAUUGGUUUGUUUAAUUUGUCUCGCUUUUUCUUCUCCUUUUUUUCGUUUGGAUUAAUUGUUUUUAAGGUGUUUUUGAAAUAUUUUACUGUAGCACUGUAGGUAGAUGAAGUUAUUUUUUGAAAUUGAUUUUAGUAUUUAUGAGAUUAUUUUUUGUGUUUUUGAAAUUAUUUUUAUUUGUAUAUUACUGUAGUAUUGUGCAUAAAAAAACUGUUUUUCAUCAAUCCAAAUGGACUAAAUUUGGUAAUCCUUAAAAGGCUUGUGGUAUUCUAUCUUCUCUUUAAAAAUAAAAGAAGCAAUGGAGUACUAUAAACUUUUGUGAGAGUGCUAAUAUCAUCUGCAUUUAUGAAAAAAAAUUACUUAAUUUCUAUUUGAAAUAGCAAUACAAUGUGAAAUAACUCAUUGGCUAAAAAAAAAUGAAAUAACUCAUUAAGCAGUUGGGAAUUGGCCAUGGGGUGCUGUUUGAAUCAAAAGAAAGUAGGUAAAAGUUUAAAAAAAUAAGGAGCAUUCAAAUAGAAAACUUAGCUAAAAAGACUUAUUAAAAAUAAUAAGAGACACGUAGGUUUUGGUUGAUUUUGCUGUGGUACAAAUGCCUAAUUAAAAUUAAAAUUUAGAACUGUUGAAUUUGAGUACCAUUUCAACUAAUAUGUCCAACAAAAUACGCAAGGUAAUUUAAUAUCAAAGCAUACACUUCCAAAGAAACCAUCCCGUCCAACUUCACAAUAUAAGGAAAUUAUGUCACAAAUACUACUAUCUCACAAUAUCAGAAUGAUGUUAUUAACGCUUCACACGAAUACGAAUUCAGACCUAAUUUGAUUGCAAAAUUCAGCAUACGUAGUACUAAAGGCACACAUAUUACCAGAGUUACUUUAAACAAAAAAGGGCCUUGGAUGCAGGCUUUGAAGAAACAUAACAAAAUCUUUUAAAGAAAAAAAAAAUAAUUGCCAGCUAAAUCUUACAAAAUUCAUCUACAUUUCCAAUGCUUAAUGAAUGAGGAAACACCACCAGUCCCCUUUCCUUGCAUGUUUUGACCGUCAUCUUCUUGGUUAACAACUCCGGUUACUUGCACGUUAGGAGAGCUUCUUAAUAAGCAAAGAACAAAUGAAAGCUUAGGGUCCGUUUGUUUCGAAUGAAAAUGUUUUACAGGAAAAUAUUUUCCUAAUUUCCCGUGUUUGGUUGCACAAAAGUUACUGAAAACAUUUUCCUAUGUAAAAUAUUUUCACUCAUUUUAUGGAAAACAACUUCCCUUCCAAACUUACUGAAGUUGUUUUCCGAAAUGCAUGCAUCCUGCCUGUAGUAUAUUCCAAACUUACUAAAAACAUCUUGUAGUAUGUUCUUUUUUUUUUAUAGUAUAAACAGGAGGAUUCGAACCCAAGACCUCUUCCUUACACUCCCUCCCCCGUACCACCCAACCCAACCCAACCCUCCCCCUAGUAUAUUCAAAAUAAAAAAAAAAUCUCAUCCUGCUCAUCCUAUACUAGUAAUUAAUUAUGUAUAAUAGGGACAUUCUUUUCUAAAAAAACUUUCAACAGUGAGAGUGCAAGAUAUAUGUCACAAUAAGCAUUGCAUGUGAUUGAUAUUUGACACUAAAUGGCCAGCAAUUUGUUUAUUGCUUAAGAAGAUAUUUUUUAUUCAUAUAUACAUUUCUCCAAGAUUUUUUAAAGUUAAACAAUGAGAUAAAUUUUCUUAUUUUGCAUGGGAAGAAGUAUGUAGUUAUAAUGUGUAGAAAGUAAAGAUAGAGAUAAAAGUGAAAAUAUUUCAAAAGUUAAACAAACACCAGAAAAAUGAAGUAAGAAAAUAUUUUCAAUAAGCUAACCAAACACCUGAAAAUGAUGAAAGGGAAAUGAUUUUCAUGAAAAAUUACUUCCACGGAAAAUAUUUUCCCAAGGAAAACAUUUUACUUCCAACCAAACAGACCCUUAGUCAAGACAUUUGUCCCGUACUCUUUUUUUAUUUAUCGAUACGAUAAAAUUUGUAUAACCUAAACUAACCUAUUCUAGGAGGGAAGGGAAGGGAACUCGAUGUAAAUAAAAACUCCAUCAAAACUGGUCAAUAAAAACCGUCACAUAUUGUGACAAUUACCAAACCUAAGAAGGUUUGGAUUAGGGCUGCAAACGAGCCGAGUCGAGUCGAGCUUUGAGUUAAUCGAGCCGAGCCUCGACUAAAUUUUACCAAGCUUGAACUCGAGCUCGAGCUCGACGAGCCGGCAAUUUUCAAACUCGAGCUCGACUCGAAUCAAGUCGAGCCGAGCUCGAGUUCGAAAAAAAUAAAAAAUAAUUAUUUUAUUUUUAAAAAAAUAAAUAAAAUAAUAUUUUUUUCUUAAUAAAUAAUAAAAUAUUAAGGAUAUAUACGUAAUUUUACUAUGAAAAUAAAAAUAAAAACAUAUAUAUAUAAUAUACGUAAUUUUAUUAUUAAAUAAAAAAAAAUUAAAAAAAAAUAUAUAUAUAUACUCAAGCUCGCGAGCCUAAUGAGCUUAAUAUUCUAAGCUCGAGUUCGAGCUCGACUCGAGCUUGACUCGAGCCGCUCGCGAGCAAAAUGAUCUGCCAACAAUGAGUAACAUUAAUCUGGGAGCAAUAAUCUCAAGGUAUCCACAAUGCCAACCAGUUCCGGUUGCAAUUCCUCGUGUAAAGGGCAGCUGGAUAUUAUACUUUCCAGUACCUAGACAGCAAAUAACACCUUUGAUCAGCUUCAAACGGAUAAGAUGACCAAACUUUAAUUAAGUGACAGAAUCUCAAAGGCAAUUGCUGUGGGUUUACCAUUGUUUCUUGCUAGUAUAAUGUAUCAUCAAGUAUCAGUAUUUGGAACUCUCGUCCAAUGAUACCGCCAUCCCCUUGACAGAAUAUAGGAAAGAUGUCCAUCUGUGUCUUCCAAUCUAAACGCCGGAACACCCCCCCCCCAACCCAAUUAGGCUCCCGUGGGGUGGGUGUCCCAAUUGCCAUCCCUAAUUUUUGAUAAAUUAGAUAGAAAUUAGACUUGGGUUUUGUCCAAAACCCUCCAGGUUGAUAGGAAAUUGGAAAACUCCAAAUUUUUAGAUAUUAUUCCAAAAUUCUAAUUUCUAUAGUAGUAAUCCAAACAAUAAUUAUGGGACUUAUUUCAAUUCUUCAUUCCGAAACCCUUUUACCAAACGCUGCCUUAAUGUGUUUGGGUAAAACCCUAUUGAAUCCCAGUACGAGAAAAACCAUUAAUCUACCCCAUCAGUACGGACACAUUGAGACGAAGGAUCGGGCUUCUCCAGGUUCUUUUAUAUCUUACCUCAAAUACCAUUAUGUUCUGGGAUUUGACACUUACAGCAAAAAACAUAAGGUUUUGAGCUUUCGUCAUGUAGAAGUAUAUAGCAACAACGAAGCUGGAUUCGUCCAGCAAGAACAAACUCUAACGCGACCAAUUAUUCAGGAUUUUACGUUGGGAACAGACUCGUGGAGAGAUGUUAAUGGUUUUGUAGGACAACUCGAGGGAUUCAGGUUAGACUUGUACGAAUCUUGUUGUAUUACUGGUGUGAUCUAUUUUAAGGUUAAUCACCAGGAUUCUAUUGUGGCUUUUGAUUUAAGGCAAGAGGAAUUUCAGAUGGUUCCUCUCCCAGGUCCAGAUGAUACUGCUGAUCGUGACGGUGCUGCUGAAAAUGUCUGGCGUGUAGAUCUAAGAUUUGAAGUUGAGAAGGAUUACUAAAUGUUUGUGGUUGGAGGACGCCCGGCUCUGAUGUUUUCCCAAAACAUAUACUAAAGGUACUUUUGGAUGGAAGAAGGAGAAAAUCCAAGUGCGAAGUGGAUAAUGGUCAUUUUAACUUUGCCAAAAUUUGUGCGUCUGCAUGGUUUUCUUAGUGUUGAACCGAUUGCCGAUGCCUGGUAUCUAAGUGAAUCUGUUACUGUUGAACUGAUUGCAUGGGAUCGAAUUGGUGAGAUUCUGUUUAAAUUGACUAGAUAUGUAGGAAGCUCAACAGAAAAGAAUGCCAUCUCCUGCUUCGGCUAUGAUGUGGAACGUCAAUGCAUAACUAGAUUCACCAAACUACAUAAGAACUUGGUACAAGAAUUCUACUGCAAGCAUGUGGGUACAUUAGUUCCAUUGAGCUAGAAUUAUAUAUAUAUAUAUAUAUAUGUAUAUUGGAUCCGUUUGCAGAAUUUUUCUGCUUUUAUACCCAGAAAAGAGAUUGAGUUUUUCUUUUUUCGUGAAUUUGUAUAUGACAUGUUACCGCACUUACACAAGGUUUUUGGUUUUCUAUGCACCAUGGAAAAACAUUUCAGCUCUCCUAAUCUAGUAAGAGUAUUUCAAUCAACAUAAACAAAUUAGGGGUACUCCUUGGACUUAGAUCUUGAGUUCUAAUCUCCCAUUUUCCCUUCCCGUCUCUUAAAUCGCAUCUCUUUCCUGUAAAAGAAAAAAUAAAAAAAUUUAAGGGUACUGAGACGUUUUCAUUUGGAAAUAACAAGAAAAUUCACGGGAAUCCAUUGAUUGGUAUCAUCACCUUUUGAUGUUAUAUUAGGUUUAGGAAAUGGCAAGCAAAUGUUUAAGAAGAAAGUUUGUCGAGUAAGCUCUGAGAUUGUAUAGAAAAUCCAACUGAGUUUAUUGAAAAGGAGAUACCUAAAAAUUGAAGAUUCUCCAAUUUCUUGAAUGCUUUUGUCUGACUACAUGUCUCUCUCAGUUGCCUUCUUUCCUCUUGAUCUGUAGUUUAUACUGAAUUAUUGCGCUCUAGAUAUAGCAGAAAAAUCUCUUGAGGUGCUUUAAGUAGAAGUCCCUGAGAUUCUUAUUUUGACUGGUAAGGAGGAAGGAAUUGUAAAUAGAAAAUCUUACGUUCAAUACCUCCCACUUACAAAAAAAAAAAAAAAAAAUUGUUGAAAUAUAUAUAGUACAUUUUCAACAUUUUGCGAAUUUGAUUUGAUUUAUUUCAUUAUAGACCCGUGAUAUGCUAAUUGAAAUCAAACUACAGGAGAAAAGAAACUUGAAUUUCCUAAGAUUUUCAGUUUCCGGUAGAAGACUACCCAAGAAUUUACAUGCUAAUUGUUUAGCAUUGAUGCCCUUCGAGCACAAUGAAACCUUUCAUCUCUGAUUUUGAAGGCAUUAAAUUAUGAGCCACACAAAUAAUUUAUCACGGUUUCUUGUUUACUUAACAUUUACCUUCUUCCUGUCUCAUUCUCCACUGAUUUUCAUUCUGCUAAAGAGUUUCUGGAAGGGCUUCAACGAGAAAAUGUUUCUUAAGAUUUUAAAGUAGAAAACGCAUAAUUUUGAUCACCGACAAAGGUCCAAUCGUGUCAAGUGAGAAUGAUGCUGUAUAAUUCCAGAUUUGCUACCAAACCAAAAAAAAAAAAAAAAAAAGGAAUCCCAUCUAAUUCAGCUCCUGUGAAUCUGUAUUUUCCGUACUAACUUUGAUUGCAUUACUUGCUAAUAAACAACAAGAUCGAAACAUGAUCCAUUCUUCGCCUAUGCCUCCAUCUCAUACGCUAUCCAAUUGCAUUAAAAUUUGGCCAGAGCCAAAAAGCAAGUGUUAAAGCUAUAACAAGCAUGAAAGAAAACAGUAUUUAAGACAUUCCUUCUCGUAGAUUUCAGCCGUCCAACCUGUCUGAAUUGCUCCAAAAAAAAACCCUAAACAAAGAAGUGUAUAUAGAAAGACAAGAAAGUGCCCCAUUGGGCAACUCAGGAAGACUAGAAUGCAACAUACACAGGAAGAUUGGGAGACGAAUAUGUUGUCAACCUUACACAUUGCAGCAUACUGACGAAUACACCUUGGCCUAGAAAUUUUGGGUGGUGUGUUCUUGAUCUUUCCUGGCCACUCCUUCACAAAAAUAUGAAAGUCUCACCUUUCAUUUGCCGCAAUGUUCAAUUUCUGGCACACUUCAGAUUACCAAUUUUAACAAAACUAAGUCUGGUUCCCAGUAAAAGAAGAGUAGUUUCCUAAUGACAGGGUCCGCACGUGUCCAACUCCAACCAGGCACUAGGAAACAAAAAUAAGUAGAAAAUGGAAGGUCAAUGCAAGGCCAUGAAGAUCCUCGCUGAAAUGUCACUUAGAGCAACAAACUAACCAGGAAAUGACUUGAGAGCUGAAGACUUAACAAAGACUGUACAUGCAAACAAAAAAUAUAGACUUAAGAGAGACCAUAGAAACAGUUGGAGGACUAACAUCAACAGACAGAGAAAAAAGGACCUCAUUUACAACUUAGAGAGACCAGAAUAAGAGGAAUGCUUUAGAUUGGAAAAGGGCAAGACAGAGACAUUCUCAAGCAGAUCCUAAGUGGACGCAGAGUUUAAUGGUUGAAACAUCAUUUCUGCUUUUGUCGAUGCACGUGAGAAGCGCAUCAAUUCCUUUGCUAUUCUCAGUCUUUCAUUCAGACGAAGCUUUUCAUCCUCUUCAAUAUAUAUUUUUUCGAGUGAAGCGGAACAGGCUAGUAAGAGCUUUAUAAAGAGCACUUCAGGUUUCGAACCCUUGAAAUAUCUUAUUUUCACAGUUUGAAGCCCAUCAAUUGUUUGGUUCAUGCGACUUGGCUCUUCCAAAUAAUUCAGAACUGUAACAUCAUUAUCUGCAACUGAUUCAAUCUACAAGAAAAGCAAUGCAAUAUCAGUUUACUAUGCAGCUCGUUUGUAAAUCAUCCAAAUUGAUUCACCGCGAUUACCCAAAUCUCGAACUUUUGUAAGCAGAGGGAACUCUGCAGUAAGCAAAGAAUGCAAGCAGUCUGGUCCAAAUCAAAGCUAAUACGAAACAACAUAAGUUGUCUCAAGCAGUCCAUUGUGGUUGGAAGCCUCUCAGGAAUAAUGCCUGCAGCCAGAUGCUUUGAUGCAAACCACAAAACACAAAGGCAUCACUUGAAGGUCUUUAGCUAGCUUAAUUAGCCAAGCAAAGGAAUUAUAUUACAGCUCACCUUGAGAAAUCUUCCAUCCAAAUACGCAUUCGUCAGUGUAUUCCAGCAGCCAAAAAGCUCUUGUAAGCUGAUUCUCUCACCCUGUCUAUGUUGUUGAAUUCCAUUUGGAAGUGCAAGAUACACAUAAGCUAGUUUCUUGCAGAUCAUGUAAUUGUCCAAUGCAAGAUAAUCAUUUUCAUAAAGAGUCAACUUUUGAAGCUGUGGAGCAGACACAUUUAAAUGAUGGACACCAGAGCAAUUCCUUAAGAUCAAAAUGACAAGUUGGGGGACAUUUAGGACAGAUGAUCCAAAGGUGACCUCUACCAAAAUGAGGCGAUUAAGCUUACCAAAGCCUUCAAAAGUAGUUGGUGGUCUGAAAAUACACCUAGAUGUUUUUAAAUAGGUAAGCUCAGAAAAAGAGAAAAUGUAAGCAGGUAAUUUGUAAGGACUGGAACUUGAGUUAUCAAGAGUGAGUUCCCUGACACCUUUCCUUGAUAGGAAUAGCAUCCACUGAUCAACAUCACUCAAUCUCAUUGGAUGCAGCUCUGGAAGGUCAAGAACAAAUUUCAGGAUAGGUCCAAAGUGUUGUAAGAGUAUUCUAUUGACUAUAUGUACAUAGUCAUUGUUGAAUUCGGAGGGCAAUCUGUUUCGUGCAAUUGAAUUUGAAAAUUGUUGAUUAAACCGCAGAUGCGGGUACUCAGCCAAAACAUCUCUCCACUUGCUUGAUAGAAGACUUGCUCUUGCAGCAUCUCGGAUGGGCACGCGAUCUAGGAUAAGAUCGAUAACAUUUCUUGGGAGGCUUGAAAUUCUAUCUUCCAUAUCACCUUCAGUUGCAGUUGUUUCACUACUUUUGCCCAUCAUGGUUCUUAUUAUGGAGCCAAACAAAAAGAAUUCCAUCAUAUCGAUAAAAUGGGAAGCUAAGAACUUUCUCUUUUUAACUCACCAUUUAUUUAUUUACUGCUUCCCAAUUUAAAUGUUUCUUUCCUUUCUUGCUAAUUGUUGCAGAACAAGUGAUGAAUAUUGUAAUGAAAAUGUCAACAGAACAACUAUAAAAGUUCAGGAUAGUGAAGUAAGAAUUAACGCUUCUAAAUAAAAAUGCUUCAAUUAGGUUUAAAUCUAAGGUAUUGGCUUGUCAAUUUAAUCAAAUUCAACCUUUCAAGCCACAGUUCAACACUUCUAGGCUCAGAUACAGCAUUGUCGUUACCAGUAAUUGGACUUAAACUACAGAAGGCCAUUCAAUAUUACUUUUUUGCCUUGAGAGUCCAAAUGCGAAUAUCUUUACUACUUAUGUCAACAGCAGAGUGGAGAACCUCAGACAUCUGAAAGUAAUCUUACAUAGGGUCAAGAGAUCAGGUCUCAUUUUCGCCAUUACCACAUUUUCUAUAAUAGCAUAUGUGCGACCUUUACAUGAAUAAUGGUAGCCACGUAAAAGGGACUCUAUGCUCUUGAACAUCGGAGCUAAAAGCUGACACAGGUGCAGUGGUUCCCUAAUCCCUCUUCCCAUUUCCAACCAGAAAAGUGAAAAAA
rnacentral:lncRNA from 1 species